rnacentral:lncRNA from 1 species
CAAACACACCUGAACAUAACUAUAAACUACUCCCCAAAAACCCCCUGAAACAUCAUGAAAACAUCACAUAAAAACAUGCAAGAAAUGGCUGAACAGGGCACUUUCGGCGGCAGGUUCGGCGGCCGAAAGUCCCUCCAGAGCCGAAAGUCAGGCAGGUUCGGCGGCACCUUCGGCGGCCGAAACUCCCAGACAGAGACGAAAGUCUUCUUUCGGGGGCAAGUUUCGGCAGCCGAAUGCUGCCUCCACAAGGGGGUUCGGCGGCCGAAACUCCCUUCGGCGGCCGAACCUGGUUUCUGCCAGAAGGGCAGAAACUUGGUUCACAUGAACCCCUUGCCUCCCAAAACCUCAAAUCAUGCAUAAAACUUAUCCAAAACAUGCAUACAAGUUCCUAGGGGUCUCAAACAGUCAUAUACCCCAACUACAACACUUCAAAUACACAAAAUCCACACACAUUGUUCAAAACAUCAACAUUAACCUAUAACUCAACAUAUAACCUAACAUGCAUUUCUACCCAUAGAUCUUGCAUAAAACUUAUUUAAAACACAUAAGGGGCUUAAGAUCGGCUCUUACCUCUUGAAGAUCGAGAGGGAGACGACCUAAACUUGGAGAUCCACGAAAAUGAGCUCCUGAGUUCCCAAAGCUCCAAAACUUGGUUUAAAUGCUCAAACUUGCAAAUGUGAGUUUAAAACUCAAGAAAAAUGGAAGAGAUUUGGAGGAAGAACACAAGAGUUGCAAAGGGAAGGUCGGAAGCUUGCUGUGGCCGAAAAUGGGAGAAAACUCACCCAUUUCGGCUAAGUGCCCCUUUUAUAGGUGGCUGGCCAGGCCACGUUCGGGGCCCGAAUGCGCUCCCGCAUCCAUGAAAUGUUCGGCAGCCGAACUUGACUUUCGGCGGCCGAAACUGGACUUCCCUAACUCAUACUUUCGGGGGCCUAACGUGCCUCCAAAGCGCAUGCAUGUUCGGCGGCCGAACUUGACUUUCGGCGGCCGAACCUGAGUUUUCCUCCAAGGACUCUUCAUGCAAAAACUCAUUUAAUUUCAUACUUAAAACCAUUAAAAACAUGAAAACAUUUUACAAAAACAUGAUUUUACCCUUCUAGAGGUCUCCGACAUCCGAGAUCCCACCGGACGGUAGGAAUUCCGAUACCGGAGUCUAGCCGGGUAUUACAGAACUAGUGCGACCCUUUACUUGCUACUAAUUUUUCUCAAUAUUGCUUUCAGGAAAUGAAAAUAUUGGAAAAAAUACAUUUUAGUACUCAAAAUGCUAGGCCCUUGAUGUCAGGGUUAGAAAAUGUCCGAAAGCUCAACAAAGUUGUUAAAGGCUAAAGAGCUCACAAGGGCUAGAAAGAUGCUCGUAGAGGCUAGAAAAGGCCAAGGAGCUCGUAAGGGCUAGAAAAAUCCCAGAAACUGGCAAAGACAUUUGAUGCCAAAAAGCUCGUCAAGGCUAUAGAAAACCUAGAAACACGCCAAGGCUGAAAAAUGUCUAGAAGCUCAAUAAGGCUGGAAAAGGCCAAGGAGCUUAUAAGGGUUAGAAAAAUGUCUGUAAAGGGUAGAAAAGGCCAAGGAGCUUGUAAGGGCUAGAAAAAUGCCCAGAAGCUGGCAAAGGCAUUUAAUGCCAAAAAGCUCGUCAGGGCUAGAGAAAGAUUGGAAGCUCAUAAGGGCUAGAAAAAUGCAUGGAUGCUCGCAAAGGCAUUUGAUACCAGAAAGCUCGUCAUGGCUAGAGAAAGCUCGGAAGCACGCUAGGGCUGAAAAAUGUCCAGAAGCUCGACGAUGUUGGAAAGGCCAAGAAUCUCGCAAGGGCUAGAAAAAUGUUCGAAAUUUUGUUAGGGAUAGAAAAUUCUCAAAAGCAUAACAAGACUGCAAAAAGCUCAGGAGCUCGCAAGGGCUUGAAAUGCUCAAAAACUCGUCAAGGCAUUAUUAUAUCACUCAGAUCAAUUUUUUCCAAGACAAGAUCAUAAACUUGACUGGUCGGUAGGGCAAGCAAAAAGAAAGCAAGGACAUCAUGGGAUCAGCUCGGACAAAUAAUCCACAUGACCCAGAUCACGAAGACAAUUAUCACUUUUGAAUCUAAAGAAUCGAAGACCAGUGGGAGGACCUCUGAUGCUACAUGAGACUCGCCCAAAAUAGGCAGUGAGUUGUCACUAUAAGACUGAGCCAUGUGGCAAGGAUCUAAUAAAUUAAUAUGCGGUCUCAUCCGUAGAAAGGAAGGCUCGGACGACCAUGGUGCCCGAAUACAAAGAAAAAAGGAGAUCCGGGUGCUUCAAGAUAGGUCGGACAAUAUUUGCCCUCAUAACUUCAGGGUGAGGCUUCAUAAGGAAGUUACCAUUAACAGUUACAAUCUAGUAGAUCCCCUUCACACCUUCGAUCACGGGAUUCUCGAUCAAUUAGCUAGUGAAUAUCCUAUACCAACGAUGAUGCGGAAUCCAAGACCAACUCGUGAUUAAAAAUUCCAUCGCACAACUUGAUAAAAGAACAAAAUAAAGAUAUCUUCCAGAAUAUUAUUCUACUACACCUCUAACCAACCAAUGUGAUUAGAAAUAUAGAUAAUGGAGCGAAGGUUGCUCUAUCACACCCCUAACCAACCAAUGUGAUUAGAAACAUAGACAAUCAAGCGAAGGUUGCUCUACUACACAACUAACCAACCAAUGUGACCAGAAACAUAGAAAAUCAAGCGAUUUCAUCUUCGAGAACACCACAAGAAAUUCUUGAUAAGUUAACUUAACCAAGUAUGGAGGAAAUCCAUAUUAGAAUGCCACAAGAUUAAAAUCUUGAUAAAUUGCUAAAAAAUGGAAAAGAACUAAAUAUUGUUCAUAAUAUCGUCUUUUUAUUCAUGGCUCAUUGUGGCUGCCACCUUAAGGGUAUUUUUAUAACUUUCAAACCCUAAUUCUAUUGUAUGAAGAUGUAAUUAUAAUAUAGAAAGGGUAUUUAGUCAAAUAGUCAAACCUAGAUUACGUUAAAUAUCAUUUUCCAAAAUUAUCUUGGAGAAAUCUCCUUCCUAAAUAGGCUGCACGAAUUGGCUUUAAUUUUGAUCAAAUUAAUUUAAAACAAAUCCCACAAAAUACUAAAAUACCAAAAUAACAAAAUUGGCCUAAAUAUAAUUUGGCCAUAAAUGCAUUACGCGAUCUGAAAUUAUGUUGUGCGUCCACAUAUGUUGAAGAGUUUGUUACUUAUUUCCUUAUUUUUCCAUACUUCCCAAAUAUAGUUCUCAUCUCGUAAAUCUUGAAUUAAGUAAUAAUAACUUGAUUUGUCAUUAUUUAGAGUUUUUCAUUUUAAAUCUUUGAAGUAUCAUGUCAUUUCCUUGCUCAUACCAAACGAGCUGGCCACAUUAUCGCCGGAUUAUCAGAAAAUAUUAUAUUUAUAUCCACCUUCUUACAGUAUAAAAGGAGGAAGGAGAACGACCACAGAGGUAAAAGUACGAUAUUCUCUCCCACAAAUACUCUUAAGUUUUUUAUUCACCGUUUUCUCAAGUCUAUUGACCUAAGCAUCAAAAUGGCUGUUGUGAGCACCCACCACUUCACUUUCUCUGUCUUAGAUGAUUAGCCAAUCACAGCCCAACUCCAAUCCAGCCACAUCAGCAACCUCAUUUAGAUUAAUUAGAAUUUAUAUUAUUAAGUAUUUCCUAAUUUUUUAUUAUUAAUAUUUCGUUUGUUUUUUAAAAAAUAUUUUAAACAUUUUUUAUAUUUAUGAAAAUAUUUUUUAUAAAAGAUUUGUCUUUUUUAAGAAAAAAUUUUCUCAAGACUAAAUUUUCCUUUGAAAAUUUUAUUAAUGCUAUUAAACUUUCUAUACAUAAAUUUAUUAACCUUCCUUAUUUUUUUUAAUUACUAAUAAACAAAAAAUAAAUAUUUUUUAAAAAUAUUUUUUUUAUAUACGAAUUAUGUUUUGUGGAAUAAAUUGUCUAGCGUGUCAUUAUACGUUUGAUAUUUCAAUUACUAUAUAUUGAGUUAGAUAGUGGUUCUGUGAUUUACGUUUAUAUCUGUAUAUUUAUAUAUUGUUGUAUUUAUUUCACAAAAUAAUUAAUAAAUAAUUGGAUAUUUUUCAUUUUAUGCACUAAGAAAUCUUUUUAUAUCCGUUUUAUAGUCAUAAAAAAUUAAUUAAUUUAAAAUUUCUAGUUAUUUUUUCCUCAACAAGGCCUUUUUCAAAAAUUAAAUUUGCAUCCUUUCCUUAGAAACACGAAAGACGAUAUACACAACUCUUGUUAAUAAUAAUUAGUUAUUUUUCACAACAACGCCUUUUUCAAAAAUUAAAUUUGCAUCCUUUUCUUAAAAAUACAACAGAAGACAUAACAAACCACCUUAUUAUUAUACCCAAGACAUAUGGUUGAUGAUGGAUGUGAGAUCUAGGAGUGUUUAAGAUUCAAACACAAGGAGGAUGAUUUUUUAGGGUUUCAAGAGGAACACUUAGAAUACUAAUAAAUAAGAGUAGUAAUGAAACUUGAUAAUUUAUUAUAGGAAGUGGUAAAAUUUUGAGUUGCAAAUAAGUAAUGGUGGUUUUCAGAAAAUAAAGAAAAUGCUCAUUUUCUCCAAUGCUACAUGGGUAUUUAUAUUUGGAUCCGUACGUCGUACACUUACGAUAUAUCUUUUUAAAAUGAACAAUUGUAUUUUUAACAUACUUUUUAGAUGAUUCAUUAAUAGCGGAUAGUUAACUCAUUAAUAUUUAACUGACUCAGGUCAUAUCAUGCAUGGUUUGUACAUUACGGAAUGAUUAUUAUAGUGCACGCAUUUAAAAAUCUUAUACGAAUAUUAAAAGUUAGAAAUAUAAUACUUUAUUUAGUAGAAACUCUUGAGGUUUAAAGUGUGUUGUACUGGUAUUAGGAUUAUGACCCUUAGAGUCCAUGUGUAUUAGACUUAGGAUUUUUGUUAUAAUUUAGACUUUUUUUUCUUUUUAGAUUUUAAAACCCUACUUAUUUGUGAUACUUGAAGUUUUUGGACCUUUUAUUGUAUUUUUUAGAUCUCUGUGCUUUUUCUAAUGAAUAUAAUCUAAUCUUUUAGGGAAAAAAAAAAACAAUCAGGGAAAUUGGAGAGAUAUUCUAUGUUCUUUUUGUUUUUAGUUUUCUUUUAUGGUUAGAAAAUAAAGUUGGAUUUCUCUAAGGGGGACAAGAGAGAGAGUGAAGAUCACCAAAGAUUUGCAUGUGAUGUGGAGCUUGACGCGAGAGUUCACAAAGAGUACAUGCGUGCCUGCCAUCGCCUAAUCUCUUGUAAAAAGUGGCUGCCAAUUUUGUCCUAUGAUCCAUUAGGUGUCACCAAAAGGGUGGUUCGGCCGUAAGGAAUGGGCUGGAGAACGCCAGAUUACUGAACCCAAUACCAUUUGUCUCAAUAGUUGUACGGGAGUACUGCCUUAGUGUGCGAGUGCUUUGCAGAGCGGAAGAGCGAUUCAAAUAUGAGUCCCCUUAAUUCAGAUAUGUACUGAAUAGAUUUAUUAAGAAAAUAAAUAGUUCUUUUUCAAAUUUUAAAAAGUGUUUUAUAUUUUAAAUUUAAAUUUUUAAUUUUUAAUUAAAAAAUAGCUCCUGUAAUUUUCUCGGAUUCUAUAUAUAGAUAUUCAUGAUUAACUAUUAUGUAUAAAUCUAUUAAUAUCUUUUAAUUUUUGAAUUAUGAUCAAAAAAUAAAAAAUAAAAAAUAAAUCUUUUACUUAAAAAAUAUUUUCUGUAUAAAUUAUUUUUUAUAAAAAAACAAAUCGUUUGAAAAAAUUUCAUUAGAAACCUUAUGUUACCUCGGAAAUCUUCCAACGGAGAAUUUUGACAUAAGAUUCGUUAUGGUGAGAAUUGAAAAAUACAAAAUAAUGUCUUAUUGCGGUUUCUCCAUAUAAUGGUUACAGUUGAUCAAUCACUUUUCAAAGUGAAAAUAACAACACUCUUAUAAUUUUGGACAAUGCAAAAAAAAUAAUAAAAUAUGUGGCCAAUCUAUAAAGUGGAAAGAAAAAAAAAUUACAAUCUUGCUAAGUCAAUCAUUACAAUUCCUGAACUGAGUCUGUUGCCUCACUUUUCUACUUGUGAUUUGCGCCACCCGUUCUCUUCGACCUUCAGCGUGUAUUGCCUUCCUUGCUUGUUAUUUUCAUACCCCAUUCACUUUCGUUAUAUCUUUGUCAUCACCAAUUAAGAAGUUUGAUUUUUGGCGUACAGCUGAUUUCCACAUAAAUUUUAUGUAUAAGGUCAUGAGCUUAGAAUUUCCCGUAGAGCUGAUUUCCACAUAAAUUUUACAUCUAAAUUCAUGAGCUUAGAAUUUUGGUGUGCAUUUAUUCAAAUUAACUAAUAUUGAGAUACUAUUAAUUAAAUACCCGAUAAAAUCACAUAGAAUUUUAUAUAUUUAUAUUAUGAAUCUAUAUAAAUUCAGUUUAGAUAAAUUUUUAUUAAUUAAUAAAGAAAUUAUUAUUUAAACCGAAAUCAAUAUAGACCCAUAAUAUAAAUAUAAUGGAAUACACAUAAAAUUUUAUAUAUUUAUCCUGCAUGUACAUAUGAAUUUAGUAUAGGUAAAUUUUUUCUAAUUAAUAAAAAAAUUCAUAUCUAAACCGAAUUUAUAUAGAUCUACAGCGUAAAUACAACGUAAAAAUCAUAUGAAAUCUUAUAUAUUUACCCUGCAUAUCUAUAUAGAUAUAGUCUAACUAAGUUUUUUUUCAAUAUCUCUAUAUAUAUGUCAUCCUAGCGUCAUUUUUAAUUGUUUUUUUUUUUUUUUUUUUAAAUGAAGGAGUUCAAAAUCAUGUACGAAGGCUUGAUGAUUAAAAACAACUAAUAAUUUGACAUAUGUAUAGUUGGUGGAUCUUGAAUUAAGAUGCAGAGUGUUAUAUUUGUUAUUAAUAAUUCUAGUAAAUAUUAUUUAUGGAAGAAUAUUUUUUUAUAGAAUAAAUCUCUUAUUUAUUGUAUUAUUUUAAAUUAAAUAUUAAAUUUUUAAUUAAAUUGAAGGAUUAACACGAUAAAUAUAAGUAUGAUAAUAAAAUUAUUUAUCUUUGUUUAUUGUAAUGUCAGACUUUUGCUUUGUGUAAAUUUAUGUAAGGUGAGUAUUUGAUUAACCGAAUCAAAUAAAAAUUUUAAGUAAUUGAAAUUUUACUAACUCUUAAAACAUUAAUCAAAACGAACUAAAAUUAAAAUAAAAUUAAAUUUAAUCGAAAUUAAAAUAUUGGGUUAGUUAUCUGAAAUAACAGAAUUAAUUAAAAUAAAAUAAAAAUUAUUUUUAAAUUAUUAUAUAAUAACUUUUAUUUAUAAAAUAACAAAUAUAAUUUAUUUUAGUAAAAUAAUAAUAAUAAAAAUAAAAAUAUAAAAACAAUGAUUAUAAAUAAUAUUUUAUUAAUUAAUAAUAAUAAUAAUAAAUAUUAUUUAAUAAAAUUUAAUUAAUUCAAUUACCAAAUUAAAGAUAACUGAAUUAAUAACUAAAAAAUCAAAUUUUUAAAAAAUUAUUAACCAAAUUAAACUCAAUUUACAUCUAAAAAAAAAUCAAAUUUUAUCAAUUUAAUUAUUCAGUUAUAUAAUUAAAUAAUGCAAAGUUCUAAUACUAUAUAGGAGUGAGAGUUUCCAUUUAAAAUAGAGAAAGAAUAUAAAAUUCAAUGUAUAUAUAAAAAAUUUUUAUAUAUUAGUGUAGUUAAAAAUAUUAUUAUAUAAUAUAGUUAUAGUAAAUAUAUUAAAUUAUUUUAAGAUGGACGCGAGUAAAAUUAAUUACUAUAUUUGGUAUGAAUAAUUUAUAUCGAUAGAUAAAUUUAAGUGUGAUCGAGUUUAUGAAUUGAAUUAAUUGAGAAUUUUAUUGAAAAUAAUGGAGAAUGAAUGGCUGUAAACAUAAUCACAAGGUGGCUUUAGUUGUGGAAAAAUACGUUGAUUUUUCAAAAGAUAUAAUGAUUGGUUAAAUUGAAUAAAUCCACUUUUGAAAUUAUAAUUAAUCAUUAUUCCAAUUAGCAGAAAAAUUAAGUGCACGAAAUGUAGUUCUUAGGUGAUAAUGAUUUAAUAUUUGAAGAAUUGAUGAGUUCAUAAUUUCUUCUCCCUUCUCUUUCAUUACAUUGCAUAUGUCCAUGAACGUGAAGCAUUCUCCACAUAUUUCUCAACCCUUUCUCUUAUUUUCUUUUUCUCUUUUUAACAUUUUUUUUAAAUUCAUAUUUUAAAUUUUAUAUCUCCAACCAGAUAAAUAUCUUAUCUCAAAAUUUAAUAUUUUAUUUUUGAAAAAAAAUGAAAUAUAUUAUGAUUUAAUUUAUUUUAUAUUAAUAUUAGGAUACAUUAUUGUAGGGUGUACGGAAUGUAUUAUAUAAUUCACCAUCUUUGAAUUGUUUGGUAUGCAGAGUGAAUUUCCCUUUCAGAUUAAUCAAUUUAAAGAUGAUGACUCCAAUGAAUGAGGCAUUCAAAAGCAAGUUAGCUACUUUUUUUUUUCUCAAAAGUUUAUGUCCAAAUUCUGUUAACGUUAACAAGGAAAUUGUUUAUUAGAGAGAAAAAUAAUUACCUUGUCCAUUAUAAUUAAAUAAAGGAAUAUUUUAAUUGGAAUAUGCCACAUGUAAUAAGAUCAUGUACUUGAUAAAUAUAAGAGUUUUUUUUAAUAUGUAUAUAUAAUUUAUGCCCUGUAAACAUGCACUUUGUAAACAGAUGUAAUUAUGCUUGUUGUUGUCUGUAUAUUCCAUUAAGAUUUCAUUUAUUUUAUAAAAAAUAAUUUAUAUGCAUAAUUUUUAAAAAUAUUUAAAUUAUUUUUUAAUAUGAGUCAAAAAUAGAGUUGUGAUGUGAUUGACUAAAUCUAAAGAAAGAAAGCAUGAGGCGGCUGUCUUCCAAGAUAGUCACUCUGACGUUUAGGGCCGUAAAUGAACCAAGCUAUUCGUAAGUUAUUCGAGACUCGAUUCGAUUUGUAAAUGAGUCAACCUCGAACUUAAUUUUUAGACACGUUUAUUAAACGAGUCAAAUUUAAACUCCGUAAUAUUCGACUUGUUAAAACUCGUGAAUAAGUUCAUGAACAAACUCGUUAAGAAAUUCGUAAAUAAACUCAUUAAAUGACUCGUGAACAGACUCGUUAAGAAAUUCGUGAAUAGGCAACAGGCUUGUUAAGAAACUCGUAAACAAACUCGUUAAGAUGCUUAUCAAGUAGGCUCGUUAAGAGACUCGUCUCGAUUCGAUUACACUCCUGUCACUUAAUCUAUUUACUAUAUAUAUUGUUAAUUUUUAUAUUUCUAUCCUUUAAUUAUAUAACUAUAUUAUUAAUUUAUAUAUUUAUUUUAUGCUAUAUAUCUUUUUAAAGAGAUUUUUUAAAUUAUUAGAUCUCUUAAUAAAUUAUUGUUAUUAUUAUAAUUUUCAUAUGUUUAUAUAUGUAUUUGUAUGAUUAUUUUUAUACUUAAUAUUAUUCGUUUAAUUUUAUAAAUUAAAUUUUUUAUAUAAUUUAAAUAUAAAUCAAUAUUAUUCCAUUGAUAAAAAUUAUACUGUAUAUAUAUAAUUAUAUAAUUUAAACAUAUUCAUAAAAUUUGAGUAUAAUGUAUAUAUCUAAUUAUAUAACUUAAACAUAUUGAUAAAAUUUGAGUAUAAUGUAUAUAUAUAAUUAUAUAAUUUAAAUUGAUUAUACUUAUAUUAAUAUAUUUAUUUUAUGUAAUAUUUUAUAUUUAUAUUAUAUAUAUAGUAUUUUUAUAUAAUAAAAUAAUUUAAUAUAAAUUAUAUAUUUAAAUAAAAAUAAAUAAUGAUAUAUGAAUAAUGAAAUGAUAACAUAUGAAUAAUCAAUGAUAAUAUAUUAAUAAAUUUUAUAUAAAAAUAUUUAUUGAUACUAAUAAUAAAAUUAUAUAGAUUUAAUUAAAAUUAUAUAACUUAAAAAGAAAUUUCUUCUCUAUAGACUGUUUAUAUAUAGAUUUAUAUAUUUAUUAUAUAUAUUUCAAUUAAUUUUUCAUAUAAUAUAAAUAUUUAAAUAAAUAAUUAUUAAAUUUUGUAUUAUAUCAUAAAUCUUAUAUUAAAUAUAUUUUAUAUAAUUAAUUAAAAGUUUAUAAUUAGUAUUUGAAUAAUAAAUAUUAUUUAAUAUUAUAAAUAAAUAAAUAUAUUUAAAUAUUAAAAUCUGAAUAAUUAAAAAAAUUAUCAUUUGUCGUUGGUGAGACAACCCAAAACUUUAAAAAAUUCUUUGUUCAUUAACCACUAUACUACAAAUUCACUUAGCUAAAAUUACUACACGUUAUUUUGGUGACACAUAACUCAAAAUUUUUAAAAAAUCUCCGUUCAUUAACCACUAGACUACAAAUUCACUUUUGCAAAAUUACUACACGUUAUUUUACAUGUGAGGUAUUAAAAGUUAAUGAAACAAUAUUUCUAUUUCACAUCGAAAAUUUGAAAUGAUGAGGUAAAACUUUUAUAUAAAUAAAGAUUUCACUUUCUAUUUUAUUUUAAAUUAAGAAUUUGGUUAUAAUAAAUUUUAAUUAAAUUAUAUUUAAUUUUAUUAAAGUUUCUUUUUAACCUUUUAAUUUAAAAUUUUAAUAUUUAAAAAUUUAAAUUAAUUAAGUUUUUUAUAUAAUUUAUUAAAUAUAUUUAUAUAAUUUAUUUACAAUAUAUCCAUUUACUUUAUAAAAUAAAAAUUUUAUUUCUAAUAUAUUUUCAUAGAUCUAUUUUAUUUGCAUAAAGCUUUUUAAUCGAGUUUUAAAACUCAAGCUUGAAUUAGACUCGUUAUUAAUUUAAAUGAAUAUUUUAAUCGAAUUUUUGAACUCAGAGUUUUAAUUAGACUCGUUAUUAGUUUAAACGAGUUUUUUACGAAUCAAACUUAAAUCGAACUCGAUUAUAAUAUUUAAUUUUUGAGUCGAGCUCGAACUUAUAAAAUCUUUUAAUAAACGAGCAUGAAUUUUACAAAACUCAGUUUAACUCGAUUCAAUUACACCCAUGUGAGUUUCUGAUUGCCCCUUAUAUUUUCUUGUUUUUACUUACAGGGCUUGGAUCAAAGCUCCUCAAAAUAUAUUUUUCCGUUUGUAUACUUUAGAUUUUAAAGAUCUAUUGAAUUUUCUAUCAGUUUAGCACUGUUAAGUGGGUAUCGGUAACCUUUAAGCAUGGCUCUAUUUUCAUUUGAGCCCACCACCCUUACUCUUUUAUCAUCUUGCCAUCCUUGCUUUUGGAUCUCCCUCUUUGGCUCUCAACACCCAAAGCCAUGGAUACUUAUUUUUUAAUGCUUAGCUGUUGGGUUGUCUACCCAUAGCCAUUGCCUUUGAUUGUUAUGAUUUGGGGUGUGUUUCACGCUUUCAAAUAAUUGUGUUUUGCUUCGAAUGCCACCCACAAUCACGAGCACCAAGUGGCAACAACAACUGAAUGGAGGGACAAGUGAUUCCGUUGCACCAUCCAGUUCGGAGUGAGGUUUAGUUUUGGUCUUGGAUUAUUUUUGAGUUUAAAUUGUAUCCACAAUGGAUUUAUGUUUAUUAUUUUUUCAUUGAUGCAACUUUUAUCUUUAAAAAAAAUGAAAAAAAGAAGAAAAGAAAGAAGUUAACAUGGCACGAGGCCCAAGCCCAAGCCCGAGCCCAAGCCCUCCCUCUGGCCUUUCGUAUCCAAACCCAGCACCCCAACCCCUCCAUCCCUUUCGGCCCCAAGCCCAACCCAGCAGAUUUCGAUUUUAACCGAAUCGAACCAAACCGAACUGAUUUUUAUCGGUUCGAUUUGGUUCGGUUAUAUCUUCAUAAUCGAUUUUUUCGGUUUUUAAAAUUUUAACAUUUCGAUUUUCGGUUUUAUUGGUUCGGAACCGAACCGACCGAUUGCACAACCCUACUUCUCGAUAUACUAUUUGCCAAGAUCAAAGCUGGCUAGUUUCGUUGAAGUCUAAACAAGCAAGGAUUGGAGUACAGUAAAUGGACUCUGGCCCUAAUACAAAUUUAACAUUCAUAGAAACAAGACCAACAGUCAAAUUCCAAAAAAUAGGCCUCAAUUCCAAACAAACAGAAACCUUAACCCUUUGAUUUAGGAAGAGAUUUUUGAAGUAAUGAGAGAAUUUUUUUAAUGUUUAAACCUUAACCCGUGUUUGAAAGAAUUAGGUUUUCUAAAUAAGUUGUAGAAGUUUUUAAAAAUUUCUAAAUACUUUAAAUAAUAAUUUCUCUUUUGAACAACUUAUUUAAAAAUAAAAUCUUACUUUAUGCCUUCAUUCCAUAGCAGAAACAGAAAAUUUAUUUUGAUUAAAAAGUUAAAUUUACAUCUGAAUUAUAUAAUAAAGAUCAAGAAUAUUAAAUUUUAUUUUUUUACCUAAAUUUACCUCUAAAUUAUCAUUAAAAUGCUAAAUAAGUCUAAAUUAACUAAAAAACAUAAUUCACUCUUAAAUUCUUACAAGUGAUAGCCUUAUUUGAACUUAUUUGACCUUUUAACAAUAAUUUAAGAGUAAAUUUAAACCGAAAAUAAAAUUAAUUAUUUUUUAUCCUUGUUGUAUAAUUCAAAAUAAUUUUGGCCUUUUUUACCAAUUCAUUUUCUGAUAAAAAAAGAAAGAGAGAGAGCAGAUAUAAUCUAUUGUGUCGACUAUAAUUUUUUUUGUGCAAAGAUAGUAAAAUCAUUGAAUUAUGGAGUAGUACAAAAAGUCCAAAAAUAUGUGAGAAUCUUAAAGGUUCAAAGAAAAAUACUACUUUCCAAGGCCCAAGCUAGACAUCCACAACCCAUAACAAAGAAAAGCCACCCAUAAGAGGCUUGUAAUACCCGGCUCGAGUCCGGCAUCGGAAUUCCUGUAGUCCGGUGGAAUCUUGGGUGUCGGAACCCUCGAGAAGGGUAAUGCAUAUGUUAGUCGAUCUGGAUCCUAGUGCCGGUGGCAGUUCGGUUUCCGGGCUGUUACAAGGCUAUCCAGAUUUCUUUUUUAUGGAGCGUCGUUCUUCCUCCCUCUAAGCUUCUUCUCCGUUCUCUGCAUGUAAUGUAUUGAUCUUGUCCUCAUCACUAGAGAACUCCAUCAAAGCAAAUUAGGGAAAGACAUCACACUAUAAAAAAUAAAGAAAUCCAAAAGAAGAAGAAUAAAAGAAAAGGUGUACGAUCCAUCAAAAGAUGGCCAUAAGAGCAUCCUUGAAAAAAAAGUAAAGACAACUUAUCGGGGACGAGGUAAUGGAGCUCAUUGCCCUCUCAAUCUCAUACAGGCUUCCCUGUAGGUAUGAGUACUCAACAAAGACCCCAUAAACAAUAACCUGCAUGGAAAAAAUGAAACAGAUCAAUCUAUAGAAAGCUUUUUCAAUAAACGAAAAGUCUCAUUCGACGAAAGAUAUCUCCUCACUUAAAGCAUAAAAUCAAUAAAAAAAAAACUAAAACAAAAAAUACAAACGUAUCUACAAUCUAACCUGGUAGUGAAGAGGGUAAACCCACCACCAGAAUGAGGGAAGAAGGCAUCCCCUGCCAGUGGGACAGAGGAAGCCAACAGAGCAAUAAAAAUAAAAGUCUUAAACCCUAAAGCCAGAAAAGGCAAAAACAAAGAAAAUUAUCUCUCUAACUUUGUAGAGAGAUUAAACUUUUGUAUUGUCAUACAAGGUGUUUGACAGAAUACCUUGGAAUACAAUUAUUUCGAGCCCACGCAAUAUGGAUCAGCAAAGUUGACAAUAGAGCUAGUGCAAGAAUAUUUAAGAAAAUGUAAUUUAUAAUAUAGUCUCAUGAGAUUUAACAAAAUUUAUAAUUAACAUCCUCAAAUCCAUAGUUAGAAAUAGUGACAUCAUUAGGUAUGAGUUAAGCUAUUUCACUAUUAGAACAAGUGAGAUUAGGAGAGGUGCUAGUUUACCUCGAGCUACUUAGGGGAGGUGCUAGCAUAAUUCUAAACUGCUAAUAAUUGAAUCAUAGAAAACUCAAAUAAAGAAAUGGACAUAUCUAGAAAUAAAGUAGACAGUGUGAUUACCGAGUCGAAAACGAGUCACUUUCAGAAGGUGCUUAGGAUUUUUCGACGUGCUCGCUUGAGGUUCUUAUUAAAAUCCGAUAUACUUACCUAAGUGAAGUGGAUUUCUAAAGACUAAAAGCAUAAUUUAGUAGGUCAAUCUAUGAAAAUUGAAAGUUUGAAAACAAAAAUAAAACAUGUUAAAAAGUUUAGUUGGUUAAAGUGUGAAUAUGAAAAGUUUAAAAGUAAAAUUUAAUUUUAGUCCUUUAUUUUUUCACCUCUUCAACUUAGUCCUCCAUGUGUCACCUAAAUAAAUAUAAAAAAGAUGAAAAAGUAAAGAAAAAGUGGGUUGUCUUCUUCCUUUCUUCAGGUGGCCAAAGAUCAUUCCAUUAAAAAUAUAAAAACUUUUCUUUUCCUUCUUCCACCAAAUCCAAGUCAAUCUUUCACCAAAUCAACUUCUUUCUCUAAUCAAAAUUCACCCUAAGAUUAAGAACUAAAGAAAGAGCUAUAUAUUGAAAAAAAUUGAAGAAUGAAAGUUUAGGAUUCCAUAAGCACCAAGCUUGAAAAUCAAAGGUGAGCAUAGAAAUGUGUAGCAAAUAGCAUCUUCUCACUUCUUCGUGCAUAAAUAUAAAUUAUAAAGUUUUAAUUUUUAAUUUAUUCAAUUCUAUCCUAAGAUAUAAAUUGACCUAGGUAAGAAACAUCAAAGGGAAAGGAGACAGGUAGGAGUUGAAGUGGAAAAGAAAGAGAAAUUCAAGAAAGGUUUGGUGUUUGUAUCAUUUUCUGUUUUUCGUUGAUUUUUCUCAUGAAUAUAUAAAAUUAGGGAUUAAUUUUGCUUGUUAAAAAUAUUAUUUUGAUUGUAUAAAUAUGUAAUAAAUGUUGGAAUGGUGUUUAAAAGGAUCAAAGCAAAGAAAAUUAACAUUGGAGUUAAAAGUGCAAACUUGGUAGGAUAGAUUUUAACAGGGCAGCAUGUGUUAGUAGCUUCAUAACUCAUUAUAUAAUCAUUGAAAUUAAGCCUAAAAUAUACCAAAUGAAAAAUGAGACAAAUAGCUAAAAUUUUCGUGAAGGGAUCAAAUUCUAAAUCUGUAGCUAAGUUAAUGUAAAGUGCAAGUGAACCUAAGCUGGUCAAAGAGAUAGUGCAUCCGGAAUAGUUUAUAUUUCUUAUACCAUAACUAAUUCUAUACUCGAUAAAAAUUAGUUAAGACCAGUACCAAAUAAAUCUUAAGAAAUAUACCUAAAAUUUUGUAGAAGACACUUAAACUUGAAUUUGUAUGAUAAUGCAUGCAUCUUAUAUAUUUUAGGGUAAUUUACGAUUUAGUCCCUGGGUAUUGCCAUUAUUAACAAGUCAGUCCCUGUAUUUUCAGAAAUCUAUUAAAACGUCCUUAUGUUUUAUUUCCGUCAACGAAAUAGUCCUUCCGUCCUAUUUUCCGUUAAAAUUAGAUAAAGGAGGAGAGAGAAAAUUUUUAAAAUCCAAUUUUACCCUCAAAUAAAACCAUUUAUUUAGUCUUUGUAUAUUAUAAUUAUUAACAAGUUAGUCCUUACAUUUUCAAAAAUCUAUUAAAAUAUUUUUAUCUUUUUUCAUAUCUAUUAAAACGUCCUUUUUUUUUUUUUCAUCAAUGAAAUAGUCUCUAUCUUUUCUCACAUCUAUUAAAACAUCCUUAUCGUUUAUUUAAGUCAACGAAAUAGUCCCUCCUCAUCGUUUCUUUCUGUCAACGAAAUCGUCUCUCCCUAUAUUUUUAGAAAUAUAUUAAAACGUCCUUAUUGUUUCUUUUUGUCAACGAAAUAGUCCCUAUCUUUUCUCAGAUCUAUUAAAACAUCCUUAUUGUUUCUUUUUAUCAACAAAAUAGUCCCUAUCUUUUCUUUCCUCUUCCUCCUCCUCCUCCUCCUCCUCCUCCUCCUCCGAAAAAGAAGAAGAAGAAGAAGAAGAAGAAGAAGAAGAAGAAGAAGAAGAAGAAGAAGAAGAAGAAGAAGAAGAAGAAGAAGAGAAAGAAGAAAAAGAAGAAGAAGGAGAAGAAGAAGAAGAAGGAGAGAAAGAAGAAAAAGAAGAAAAGGAAGAAGAAGAAUGAGAAGAAGAAGAAGAAGAUAAAGAAGAAAAAGAAGAAAAAGAAGCAAAAGAAGAAAAAGGAGAAGAAGCAGAAGAAGAAGGAGAAAAAACAGAAGCUGAAGAAGAAAAAGGAGAAGAAGCAGAAGAAGAAGAAGCAAAAAGAAGAAGAAUUGAUGAAGAAGAAAAGGAAGGAGGAGGAGGAGAAAAAUAAUUGGGGGUAAUUUAGUCUUUUACUAUAUUUUUAACGGCAAAAAUAGACAGAAGGACUAUUUCGUUGACGGAGAGAAAACAUAAGGAUGUUUUAAUAGAUUUCUGAAAAUACAGGGACUGACUUGUUAAUAAUGGCAAUACCCAGGGACUAAAUCGUAAAUUACCCUAUAUUUUAUUGUACUAGAAACAAGUAUCAAUAUUGGACUGAUUAAGACCUUAUUGAGUAGCUUAUAAAAAAAAAAUUCAUAAUUUAAAAUAGAGUGAUCAAAUUUGUAUCAAUUAUAUCUUUUUUGAAAAAUAAGACAUAAAUACACAUUUUUUUAUGAAAAAACUUAACUUUAAUUAUAACUUUAAAGUGCUUGAAAAGUUAAUGCAAAAUUUAACAGAAUGUAACCCUCUUCAAUUGGAAUGCAUAAAAAUUGACUUGCUUGCUUAAGCGGUAGAAAUUAAAUACGUAUUUGCUUGUCGUGCUUGAUUUUCACACAUACUUGCUUGAUAAUAAAAUUUAUUUGUGCAUGAUGACUUGAGUAAAAUUUACCAUUUUUUAUUUAUUAGUGGUAUGAAAUACAAGAAAUAAAUUGGCUUGAUUCACUUUUGGAAUGCUAAAUCGAUAAAAUUUUGCACUAUUUGCCAUGAGUUUCAUAUAUUGUUAACCUUGGCAUAUGAUAUACGUAUUCUGGAAAUGAUUUGAAAUAGUUUUAGAUGACGUGUAUUUACGUUAAACAAAUUGAUACAUUAAAUUAAUAAUUUUUUGCCCUGGUAAACUUAAUAGGAGUUGAGGUUAGCUUAAGGAUAUGACAUGCCAUAUAAAUAUAUAGAAUUCACAAUACUAUUACCGAUACAUGAUCUAUAUUGGAGGUUACUGUUGAAUCCCACAUCGGUUGUGGAAAUAGGUGAUGUGCCCCUUAUAUGAGCCAUAGGCACUCCUCCCCCUUGAGCUAGCUUUUGGGGUGAGUUAGGCCUGGCCCAAAUUUAACUUGGUAUCAGAGCCUCCCCAUCCGAUGUUGGAUGCCUUAUAAAUGUGCCACGCACCAGUAAAAAUUCUGGGCGUGAGGGGGUGUGUUGAAUCCCACAUCGGUUGUGGAAAGGGGUGAUGUGCCCCUUAUAUGAGCCAUAGGCACUCCUCCCCCUUGAGCUAGCUUUUGGGGUGAGUUAGGCCUGGCCCAAAUUUAACUGUUACAUAUCAGAUACCUCAUAAGCAUGAGCUCUGCUAUCAUAGUUUUGGCCUGUGAGCCUACUGUUUGGCACCAUGUGCCCACCAUUAUAACUCUUUAUCUACCUAGUCAAUCCUACUACGUGUUUAUAAGGAUUGAGAACCUAAUUAAGAUUGAUGCUUUACUUUUUGUGAAAUUAUCAGUGAAUGUUAACGUAUUUACAUCUACUGCAUGCAAAAAACUAUGAUGAUUUGAUAUGAAUAUAAAAUGUGCAAUGGUGGCAAAGAAAAUGUUUUAUUGAAUCUGAAUAAAAUUAUUGGCAUGCAUAAGGAUAUAUAUUACACUCCUAUCUUAUACCAAGAAAUUUGACAAAUAUACUUUGUAUCAUGUUAACUACAUUUUACAUGUUUGUAAAUGUUUACUUAAUUAUCUAUAUAAAUGAGUAUACUUGCUCUAUUUUAUUAUUUGUUUGGAAUCAUCCACUAAUAUUAUCUCAGCGUGCUGGUUUUUACCUCACGCAUCUCGUCGAAAAAAUAAUUCCUACAGAAGUCGUCAAAGAUCGACAUCAGACAUCAAAACCAUUAUCAUAGCUGGUUGUUUUGAGCUUAUAAAUUACAGUACGAUUAUAUUUUGAUAUGUAAAUAUUAAAUAGAGUGGGUUAUAAAGGUUAUAUAAAUUAAAAUAAUAUAAUCAUGUAUUGAUAAAGAAAAUAGCUAUACUUUUGCAUGUGAUGAUAAUCAUAGAAAAAUAAGAGAUGAUGUUAUGAUGAAAUGUGUGCUAAAUUAAAGAAUAGUAAAAUACCAAAUGACAGUUGAUAGUAUAAUUAUAAAUAUAUUUUUCAUAUGUACUAUAGGUUGAAAUACUGAUAAAAUAGAAGAAACUUUGCCAAAAUUUUUGUUUAAAAUCUCACAUUUACUUUACUUUUAUAAAAUUUAUAUGAACUAUCUGAUAAUUUGGUAAUUAUACAUAAAAGAAAUUGUUUAGUUUUGAAAUAUCUAAGAAAGUAUAGUUUGUGACAAUCCUAACUUUGUGUAAUUACCAAAUUAUUAGAUAGUUCAUGUAAAUUUCGUAAAAUAAGUAAAGUAAAUGUGAGAUUUUAAACAAAAAUUUUAGCAGAGUUUCCUCUAUUUUAUCAGUAUUUCAACCUGUAGUACAUAUGAAAAACAUAUUUAUAAUUAUACUAUCAAUUGUCAUUUGGUAUCCUACUAUUUUUUUAAUUUAUCACACGUUUCAUAAUAACAUCAUCCCUUAUUUUUCCAUUAUUAUCAUCACAUGUAAAAGUUUAACUCUUUUUUUUAUCAAUACAUGAUUACAUUAUUUUAACUUAUAUAACCUUCAUAACCCACCAUAUUUAAUAUGUACAUGCCAAAAUAUAAUUGUACCAUGAUUUGGAGACUCAAAACAACCAGUUAUGAUAAUGGUUUUGAUAUCCGAUGUUGAUCUCUGCAGUGAUUACUUUAUCUACAACCUGCAUGAGGUAAAAACUAGUAUGCUGAGCUAAUACAUAGUGGGUGAUUGUAAACAAAUAAUGAAAUAGGGUAAAUAUAUUUAUGUAUAUAGAUAAUUAAGUAAACAAUUACAAACAUAUCAAAUGUAGUUAACAUGAUACAAAUCAUACUUGUCAAACUUCUUGAUAUAAUAGGAGCGCAAUAUGUAUCCUUGUACACGCCAAGAAUUUUCUUUAGAUUCAAUAAAAUAUCUUCUUUUGCGACUAUUGCAUAUUUUAUAUUUAUAGCAAAUCACCAUAACUUAGUGUAUAUAAUAGAUGCAAACAUAUUAACAUUUACUAGUAAUUUCACAAAAAUCGAGCAUCAAUUUUAAUUAGGUUCUCAGCCCUUAUAAAUACAUGGAGGAUCAACUAGUGUAGAUAAGGAGUUAUAACGGUGGGCACAUGAUGCUAAAUGGUAGGCUCAAAGUUCAAAACUAUGAUAGCAAGGCUACAUGGUCAUGCUUAUGAGAUACCUGAUAUGUAACAUCAAAUAUAGAUCAUGUAUCAGUAGCAGUACUACGAAUUCUAUAUGUACAUAUGGUAUAUCAUACCCUUAAACUAGACUCGACUCCUAUUAAGUUUAUUAGGACCAAAUACCAUUAAUUCAAUGUAUCAAUUUGUUUAACGUAAAUACACGUGAUUUGAAUCUAUUUGAAAUCAUUUCCAAAAUACAUAUAUCAUAUGUCAAGCUUAACAAAAUGAGAAACUUAUGGCAAAUAUUGUAAAACUUUGUCAACUUAGCAUUCUAAUAGUGCGUCAAGUCAAGUCAAGUCAAUUCACUUCUUACAUUUCAUACCACUAACAAGUAAAUAAUGACAAGUUUUAUUUAAAUUUUUAUGUACAAAUAAGUUUUAUUAUCAAGCAAUACAUGCAAAAGUCAAGUAAGAAAAACAAGCACAUACGUAAUUCUUACUGAUUAAGUAAGCAUGUCAAUUUUUAUGCAGACAAACAAGCACAUACAUAAUUCUUACUGAUUAAGUAAACAUGUUAAUUUUUAUGCAUUCCAGUAUUAGUACUUGUUUAUAGUAUCAAAAUCUAUAUCAGAUGCAUGUAUUUUCAUACAAAUUCAACCUUAAAUAUCUUCUAUAAAGUUUUAAGUAUACUUUUUAAGAUUCAUUUGGCACUGACCUUAACUAAUUUUAUUGAGUACAGACUUAGUUAUAGUAUAAUCAAUACAGUCUGUUCUGAAUGCUCUAUCACUGUGACCAAUUUAGAUUCACUUACAAUUUACAUCAUCUUACCUAUAGAUUCACAAUUUAGUCAAUUUAUGAAAGUUUUAACUCUUUAUCUCAGCUUUCAUUUAGUAUAUUUUAGACCUAAUUUCAAUUAUGUAACGCCCCGAAAAUCGGACCGCUACCGGCGCUAGGAUCCGGGUCGACUUAAGGCCGCCGGGACCCGUAGCAAGCCUGACAUAAGACCUGUAAACCUGUAUAAUCCCAUACAUGAUCAACAAUAAGCAUAAAAAUUAAAACUUUCCUUUGCAUACUCACUCUCACCAGACUAUUCCCUUAAAGUGGGAGGUCAAGGGUUCGAGCAGUGGGGGAGGCGACCUAAUUUCCUAAGGGAAAUUUGGGCCAAAUCCACUUGGGGAAGGAUGCGUUUGACGAGAACCCAAGGGGACAAAUCCUGCCUGGAAUCCGUGAGGGUGAAGGGAUGUUAAGAGCUGCUCACAGUGGCUGGGCCCAGAGGAAGGUCACGGGCUGUGAGCGGUAACAGUACCGUGCGUACGGGCCGGGCUGUUACAAAUUAUUACACAAUGGUUUAUGAAACUAUUAACGCAUGCUGCCCUAUUAAAACCUAUCCUACCAAGUUUGUAUUUUUAAUUCUCAUAUUAAAUUUCUUUGCUUUAAACUUUUCAAACACUAUUCUAAUAUUUAUAUUACAUAUUUAUACGAUCAAAGCAACAUUUUCAAAAAGCAAAAUCAAUCCUUAAUUUCACAUAUUUAUGAGAAAAUCAAAGGAAAACACAACAAUCAUAUAAAUACCAAACCUUUCUUGAAUUUCUCUUUCUUUUCCACUUCUACUCUCUAGCUAUCUCAUUUCCCUUUAAUGUUCCUUCACCUCUAAUUUUCAAGAUUGGUGCAUAUGGAACCCUAAACUUUUCCUUCUUCAAUUCUUUCAUCAUAUGGCUCUUUUUGUAACUGUUGAUCUUAGGGUGAAUUUUAGUUAAAGAAAGAAGUUGAUCUGGUGAGAGAUUGGCUUGGAUUUGGCAGAAGAAAGAAAAAAAAUAAGAUUUUGAUUUUCAAUGGCAUAAGUUUCGGCCAUAAGAAUGGUGGAUGAAGAUAACCCUUUUUUUCAUUUGCUUUGUCAUUUCUUUCAUACUUAGUUAGGUGAUACAUGAAGAGUUUAGGUAAAGAGGUGGAAAAAUAAAGGGUUAAAAUUGAAUUUUGCCUUUAAACUUUCCAUAUUCACACUUUAGCCUACUAAACUAUUUAGCAUAUUUCAAUUUAGUUUUAAAUUUUCAAUAUUCAUAGAUUGACUUACUAAAUUACACUUUUAGCCUUUAAAAAUCCAUUUCACUUAGACAAGCAUAUCGAAUUUUAAUAAGCACUUCAAGCGAGUACGUCCAGAAAGCCUAAACACCUCCUGAAAGUGUCUCAUUUCCGACUCGCGAAUCACACUAUAUACUUUAUUUUUUGAUAUGUCCGAUUCUUUAUUUGAGUUUUCUAUAAUUCAAUUAUUAGCAAUUUAAAGUUAUGCCAACAUCUCCCCUAAAUACCUCAGGGUAAAUUAGCACUUCUUCUAAUACCACUUGUUUUAAUAAUGAAAUAGUCUAACUCAUGCUUAGUGAUGUUACUGGAUUUAAUAUUUCAUUUUAUAAACAAAAUAUCUAUUAUGUCAAAAUUCAUUAUUAAUUAUAAUAAUUUAGUUAUUUCAAUUUUAUUUUAAUAAUAUUUUAGAACUAAUUUGUAACAACUUAUAGUUUAAUAUUUAUAUCAAUUUAGUUCUUUUAAUUUGAGUUGACUUCUUUUAAUUUAAAAUGGACUAAUAGUAAAUUUAACAAAAAUACUAUUUUAUUAAUAAAAUAAAGAAUCAAAACUAAAUUAUUUACUAUUAAAAAUAUAAAAAUUAAAUUAUAAAUUUUACUAAUUUGAGAAUAUAUUAUAAAUUAUUCUUUAAAAAAAAGGCAUACGUCAACUUCGAUCAUGAUUAUUUUAAAUUUGCUUGAGAUUUUAGGAAUCAUUGAGAAUCGGCAAGGCAUUUCAUGGUUAUGUUUUUUUUUUUUUUUAUCAAAUAUAAAAAUAGGUUGCAUUAAGAUGGCAUCAAGUUUAAAUACAUCAUUAACUUAAAAGUUGGCUGAAAAUAAAAAACCAUCACGCCCAAUCCAGCAUAAGAAAACAAACAGUAAAAACCCAAAGCCCAAGUCCAAAGGGUCAAAAGCCCUAGAGCCAUCUGAGAAAGGAACUAAGUCCCAUCGCUUUGGAUCCACUAAGUUCCUAUUGCAAUUUAGGACGAUUGAGGAUUCCAUCCGUUAAAAACACAAACGGAAGAAUAAAUCAAGGACCAUAUCUAGUUCAGGGUGAGCAGUACUCGAUUUAAAUCAAAAAAAUUGAUCGAAUCGAUUUAAUUUAAAAUUUUAGUUUAAUUUUUUAUUUAUUUUAAUUCGGUUUAAUUCAGUUUUUAAUUUUAAAAAUUUUGAUCAUUUCGAUUCGGUUCGGUUUUGAUUAGCAAAAAUUAAAAAAAUCAAACCGAAUCGAUUUGUGAUAAUAAUAUGUUAUUUUCAAUAAUAUAGAGAAAUUAAAUCAUAUUAAAAUUAAAAUAUUUUAAUUAAAUUUUAAAAUACUAAAAUAAAAUGUAAAAAAUAAAAAAUUUAUUAAAAAUUAAAAUUAAUCAAAUCGAAUCGAAUCGAAUCAAAUCAGAUUGAUUCAGUUCGAUUCGAUUUCUGAUCAAAAUCAAUUCGAUUUGAAUUUUAUAAAUAUUAAAAUUUCAAUUUUUAAUUUAUUUAUUUUACUUUAAUUUUAAAUCGAACCGAUCGAGUACUCACCUCUCUAUCGAGAAGAAGAGCUUACAAUAGUCCGAAACCAACAGAGCACAACCAAGGAAAAUCACAAGAGGGCCAUUGCAUAGAGCUCAAAAUAUGUCUAUGUCGCAUCUUGAAGUAACUGUCAGCAGUAUACACAAAAUAAAUCAUCCCAACCCAAAAAAAUAAUAGAUCCAGACCUAUUGACGCACUCUUCAAGAAAAUACAUAGAAAAAUCUGAUAAACAUGCAAAUAAGAUACGGAGCUUUUCACAAAAAUAAGACCUGUAAAACUAUACAAUGAAACUAAUCGAGAAAACAAUAAAAACAUGAAAUCAGCUAAAUAACCUCUACCAAUAACCUCUACCAAUAAGCUCGGCUCUCUCAAAGAAAACCAUAAAAUUAUGUACAUCCCAACUCCAUAGGAAGAUAGAACUCACACAGAAUGGGAAGAGUUGGCCUCCCUCUACUCCUCAGAGGAGGCCGACUAGCAGUAGACAACCGAGAUUGAGCUCUAAGAGCUCUUUACUAAGAAGUUAGAACAGAAAAAAAUUCUCUUUCUCUCUCCAAAGAAUUAAAGAGAAUUUUUUAUGUGAUAGUGUGAACAUUGUAUUUCGAAGUGUGAAUAAGUGGAAUUACUAGAAUAAUUAUGAUAAUAACAGUAUAUUCGACUUAUAUUUUACACUAAAAUAAAUUUAUAAUUUUAUAUUAAAUAUCAAAUUACAUCUUAUUAUAUUAAAAUAUUAAUUUUUUAAUAAUAAAUAUAUUUUUAUAUAUUAUUUUAAUUAAAAUAGUAUUAAAAAUGAUAUUAUUGUGGCUGAAUUCUUUUUAAUUAUUAUUAUUUUAUUUUUAAUAGUAUUUUAAUAAGAGACAAUAUUUAAUAAAUUAUAGAAAUUCUAUUUUAUUAUUAUAAAACUAAUAUUUUAACAUGAUAAGUUGUAGGGUUUGGAAAAAAAAGUUAAAAUUGAUUUAUUUAGCCCUAGCAUGGGUGAAUAUUAAUUUAUUUCUGAAUAAUUAUUGAUGGGAUAAGUCAUAGGAUUGCUAGAGUUAUCACCUAGUGCAUAAGCAAGCGGUAAAUUUUAUCAAUUUUUUUAUUAUUAGAUUUUAGGGGAAGUAUAAAAAAAGUGUCUUAAUAUUUUAUCAUUUUUUAUUUUUAAAAUUUUAAUCUAAUUUGUAUUAAAGUAUUAUUUGUGAUAUUGUGUUAUUAAUAAAAAGUUAUUAAAAAUAUUAAUAUAAAAAUUAUAUUAAGAAAUAUUAAUUUAAUAUAAAUUAAAAUAUAAAUUUUAAAAUGAAAAUAAAUAAAAUUAUAUGGUAUUUUUUAUAUUUUUUAAUUAAUAAUUAUAUUUUAUUUAUUAUAUCAAUUUUUUAUAAUAUUAAAAAUUAGUGUUAUUUAUUAAUGGUAUGAUAUUAUAAAUGCUAUUUUAAUAUAAAUUAAAUUAUAAACUUUGACUUUAAAAUAAGUUAAAUUAUAUAAUUUUUUUUAUAUUUUUUUUAAAUUUUCAUACCCUCCUGCAAAAUAUAAAAUGCAGGAAAGUGUCUACCGUACUAAAAGAUAAUUUAAUUAAAUUUUUUAAUUGUAUAUUUAUUACAUGUGUAUAAAAAAUCUCAAAGUUAUUCUUAAUGGUUAGAAACGAAUAAAUUAUAUAAUAUUUUAUUUAAAAUAUUUAGUGAGAGUUUUUUAGCAUGAUUUUUUAACAUUUAAAACUCUUAAAAAGGAAUUAUUAUAUUAUGGGAAGAGGUUGGAGUUUGAACCCAGUUCUAAGAUUAAGCGUUAUAUUUUUUAAUAAAUUAAAUUAGACAGCUUAAAUAAAUAUUAAGUGAUAGUUGCAUAAAUUAUAAUUUUUUGUUUUGAGCUUUAACAGCUAUAGAACUUUUUGAAAUGGCAAAAUCAUAUUAAACAUUAUUUACCCUCCAACUGCUUCACUUCUCCGAUCUUGUUUAUUCUGAGCUUAUGCCCUUUUAUUAAUAAACUUGUUUACCUUUGAUAAUAUAUUAUAUAUAUAUAAUAUAAAUCCAUUAUAAGUAUUACUUUUUAACUUUAAAUCUAUUAUGAUAAUCUAUAAAAAAAACUCUUUUCUCGUAUUGAGAUAAUGUAUGUCGUUUAAUAUAAUCAUACUAGAGAAGAGUAGUUAGCGGUUCGACCAUUAAAACUUUCCGAACUAAAAGAGUUCGGAUUAAUUUAUUCGGGUAAUUAUAUAAUGUCUUAAACGUGCAUAUAAUGACAGGCAUCAGUGAAGCGGUUCAUCCUGUCAAAGGUCGGAUAGCCGAAAGUAAUGAUCGUCCUGUCUUGAAACUGCCGAGAACUCGACAAUUUUCGGACAGUUAAUACAUUAAAAGAUUUGGUUACUAGUUACAGGUCGGACAUUUUAUUUUUUAUGAAAACAAAAACUCUUAAUUCUCGUAUAUAAUUUUUUUCUAAUUUUUUACAUUUUGAUGGUUGCUUCUCAGUCAAUAGAUAAGAAUUGGGAGGAGACAUUUCGUUAAUGUGGAAGAAUCACGUAUCUGUUUCUGUGGUUGGCUUUUCUUCAAAUUUUAUUGUUUCGGAAAGCAAUGUUUAAUAGAGAUUUACUAGUUAUUGUGGGUUUCCGAAAUCACAACGACGAUAUCUGUCUUGAAAUUUUAUUCGAGUUUUAUCUCGUAUAAGCUCUUUUCCGUAAUUUUGUUCGGAAAAUUUUAAUGAUUUAUAUUUGAAAAAUGAGAAAGAACGAGAAACAUUUUUGCCAAAUUAUCUGGAUUUGGACAAGCACUUGAAGAGUAUUUUUACCAAAUUAUCUUAUGCAGGAGUUUGAUUUUGAAUAAUUGUAAAUCUUUUUUAGACUCUUAAAACUGAUAUUUCUGUUAAAUGGGUUCAUCGUAAUGCUACUUUAACUGCUCAUAUUUUGGCUAGAGAAUUUGUUAGGCAUAAUCGUAUUUCUGUUUGAAAUGAUAUCUUUUUUCGUUUAAUAGAAUUUUAUUAAUACAAUUAAUAGUUUUGCUUUCAAAUAAAAUGACAAAUUUUUAUAAUGCGUGUCAAAAAUAUUAUAUUUUUAAUGCAUUAAAUAAGUUAAUUAUUCAUCAUAAAUAAAUUAUUUAAAAAUAAUAUUAAAAAGUACAAUCAUUCAUACUUUUACUUGAUAUAAAUCCCUUCUUAAGGGUAUCACUUUGUCUUCUCCAACUUCUUAACUAUCUCCACAACGCCAACCUAAAUAUAUUCACAUAAUUCUAUUAGUUCUCUCAUUUAUUAAGUCGAGUUUAUUCAUUUUUAUAAAACUUUAAAAGUGAUCUAUCUAUCAAAUUUCAUAAUCAUUACAUCCUAAAUCCAAUUAUAUAAUAUUCAAAAUUGUUUUAAUAGAAUUCAAGCAGACGAAUACUGAAAAAUAUGUGAUUUAUUGCCAUCCAUAGGAUUAAUAGCUUUCUUCAUUCAUUUUUAAACUAUAAAUCUGAUGUAAAGGUUUCUACAAUAACAUAUAUAUAUAUCGUCAGUAGGUUGUACGAGCUGUUCCAUCUGAGCGUAUGAUGCCUAACUAUAAGCUAUUAGGCUGUAGCUUCCACUACGGCAUGUCGUUUCAUAGACCAGUUAUUGGACACCAGUUUAACCUGUAUAGCAGUUGAAGCGAAACCAGUUAGAGGCUAAACAGCAAGAGACGCAAAACGCCUCGUUUUCCCUUCUGAAACUGCCAUCCUUACCUUCUACUCUACCAUUCAAAUCCUCCAUUGCAAUGUCCCCUUCCCUUUGAAAACUUCAGAGUGAUUGCCAGUUUUUUUAUAGCAAGGCAAUAGGCAAAUGUCUCUGCUGUUUUCAUUUCUUUGAAUCAAAGAAGAAUCUUACAGAGGAAAUUUUCUCUAAUAUGAAAACUUAAAUGAGGUCCCUGAAAGAUGGUCUCAGAUGUCAACUCCAGUCCAUAAAAGUUGGGUUUACGCUGCCCAUCUUCACCUCCAAUCAACUCAUUAAUCUGUAUUCUAAUCAUGGACUUAUACGAGAAGCUCAAAAUCUGUUCGACGAAAUGCCUGACAGAAACGUCUUCUCUUGGAAUGCACUAAUCUCUGCUCACAUAAAAGCCCGCAACUUAUCACAGGCAAAACUUAUAUUUGAAUCCACUUCUGUUAGAGAUUUGGUCACCUAUAAUUCAAUAUUAUCCGGCUAUGUAAGCGCUGAUGGGUAUGAAACUUAUGCGCUUGAAUUGUUUAUUGAAAUGCUUAGGGACCGUUACAAGAUUGGAAUGGAUGAGUUUACUUUUACAACGAUGGUUAACCUGUUUGCUAAGCUAUCCAUGUUGUCUUAUGGGAGGCAGGUGCAUUCAUAUAUGAUUAAAACUGCUAAUGAUAUAAAUAGGUUUGCUUUGAGUUCUUUGAUUAACAUGUAUUCUAAAUGUGGGAGUUUUCAAGCGGCGCGUGAGAUGUUUAAUGGAGGUGAGGAAGUUGCUGAUAUAAUUUCAAAGAAUUCUAUGGUGGCCGCUUGUUGUAGAGAAGGUGAAAUGGACUUAGCUUUGAAUCUUUUUUGGAGGGAGAGUGAGUUUAAUGAUACAGUUUCUUGGAAUACAUUGAUUUCAGGUUUUGCUCAAAAUGGUUAUGAGGAGGAGUCAUUGAAGUUAUUUGUUUGCAUGAUGGACAAUGGUGUUAAAUGUAAUGAGCGCACUUUUGCUAGUCUUUUGAGCGCUUGCUCUGCUUUAAAGAACUUGAAGCUUGGAAAGGAAAUCCAUGCUUGGGUUUUGAGGAAUGGUUUGGGUUUAAAUCCAUUUAUGGAAAGCGGCCUCAUUGAUGUUUAUUGCAAGUGUGGGAAUAUGAAGUAUGCAGAAGCAAUGCAUUUGGCAAGUAGGAUUGAAAGCUCCUGUUUUGUCACUUCUAUGAUUGUGGGGUAUUCAUCUCAAGGAAACAUGGUGAAAGCUCGUAAACUUUUUGAUUCAUUAGAUGAGAAGAAUGCUAUUAUUUGGACAGCUUUGUUUACUGGGUAUGUGAAAUUACAGCAAUGCGAAGCUGUUUUUGAACUUUUUAUUGAGUUUAGGUCCAAGGAAUUAACGGUUCCCGAUGAUUUGAUCAUUGUAAGCUUGCUUGGUGCCUGUGCGCUGCAAGCUGCACUUAGUCCGGGAAAGGAAAUUCAUGGUUAUGUAUUAAGAAUGGGAAUUCUAAUGGAUAAGAAAAUGGCAACUGCUGUGGUUGACAUGUAUUCAAAAUGUGGCAGUAUAACAUAUGCAGAAAACACAUUCCAAAAAGUUACUGAAAGAGAUUCUGUCCUUUACAAUGUCAUGAUAGCUGGCUAUGCUCAUCACGGACAUGAGAAUGAAGCUAUCCAGUUGUUUCAGGAAAUGUUGGAGAAAGGAAUCAAGCCAAAUGAAGUUACUUAUGUUGCACUGCUAUCAGCUUGCCGUCACCGUGGACUGGUAGAUUUAGGUGAAAAAUUUUUUAAUUCCAUGACAGAUAAACAUAGCAUAUCACCUGAAAUUGACCACUACACAUGUAUGAUUGAUCUAUAUGGAAGGGCUAAUCAACUAGAAAAGGCAUUAUCACUCAUGAAAAAGAUUCCUAUAGAACAACAGGAUGCUACAAUCCUUGGGGCAUUCUUGAAUGCUUGUAGGCUAAAUAGAAAUGCAGAAUUAGCAAAACAGGUGGAGGAGAACCUGUUGAAGAUUGAGAGCAAAAAUGGAGCUCGUUAUGUGCAGUUGGCAAAUGUUUAUGCAGCAGAAGGGAACUGGGUUGAGAUGAGGAGGAUAAGGAAGCAGAUGAGAGGAAACAAAGCUAAGAGAUUUGCAGGUUGCAGUUGGGUAUACCUAGAAAAUGGAGUCCAUGUAUUUACCUCUGGUGAUAGAACACAUAGAAAUGCAUAUUCUAUAUAUUCAAUGUUGGCAUGUUUGAAUACUGAGCUAUAUGAAAUUUCUGGAGUAAUCUGUUAAGAAGACAAGGUUCUGAUUGUGGAGGGACACGUGUCAUUACACUAAGUAGUGAUACUGAAUAUAGUCAAUAUUCUUGAAAAUAAUAAAUUGAGCAUAAAAGAAAAAAAAAAUAAAAAUAAAAAGGCUGAGUUGGUCCGGACUGCGGGCCCAUCUGGGUGGAUUCACGUUCUAAUUCCGACACUGCAUGAUUGACUUGCAGAAUAACAAACAAAACCAGCUAAUUUCUGAGAUUUCUGCACCAUAGCUUCCCUCUUCAUAUAUAUAUUGAUUUUAGCUGUCUAUUGGAUGUCAAUUCUGCCAUUUUCUUUAGAUUCCUUCAACCCCAUUAUCACAUUUUAGGCUUUUUUUUCAGAAUUCGAUAAGAUGAAUUUCAAAAAAAAAAAGUCAUUUAAUUUAAUUAUAUUUUUAAAUUUUAUUUCUUUUCAAAAAAUUUUCUAUGUAUUUAUGUCAUAGUCAAAUAAUUAAAAUAAUGUUUUUUUCCAUUAUAUAUCAUUUCAUCAAUUUAAUUAUUUUAUUUAUUUCAAUAUUUUAACUAAUGAAAAGAUUAAUUGAAUAGACUAUUCCAUAAAUAUACUUUUGUAAUUUAAGUUUAUGCAUUUUAAAAUAUGUUGUAAUUAAAAAAAUGGCAAUUUACAUUUAAUAAAAAAUCACAGUUUAGUGUUUUUUUUUUUAUGAAAAUAACUUAACUCUUGAGUUUUUAUUUUAUUGAUGAAAUAAUAUUAUGUUAAAUUUUACCAAUACUCGACUAUAAACAGAAUAAAUUAACUUAAAUUUAAAAGAUUAAAUUGUAAUACAUAUCAAAACUAUAAAAUUAUUAUAAAAAAAUAUAAUGUAAAUAAUUAAAGGUGGGUUCAAUAUCACUACAUAAUUUUUAUUUUUUAAUUUUUCAAAAUUAAAAACAGUUUUUUUAUUUUUAUUAACAGUUAAAAUAUAUUAAAAUGUCCUUUUAAAAACUCUAUCAAUUAAUCAUUCCAUUAAUUUUAACCGUUAAAUAUUAUAAAAAUAAAAAUUAUUAUUUAAUUUUUAUCAUAUAAAAAAUCUGCUAAUUAAUUCAUUGAAAGUUACAUUAUAAUGUUCUUAAAAUUUUAAAAAAUUUAUUAAUUAAUUUCUCUAUUAAUUUUAACUAUUAAGUAUUACAAAAAUUUUUUAAAUUUUCACAAAAUUGAGGAACUAAUUAAUAAAUUUUCUCUUGCUACAUGACUAAAUAGUAAAGUAUUUAAUGGUCAAAAUUAAUAAAAUAAUUAAUUAGUAUAGUUUUAAUAUAUAAAGAAUAUUUUAAUAUAUUUUAAAAAUAAAAAAACUAAUUAAUAAGUUUUUUUAUAUUAUAGAGAUUAAAAAGUAAUUUUUUUUAUAAAAAAAUUUAAAAUACUAUUAGUAUAGAGUAAUUAAUUAGUAGGCAUUUUUAUAAAAUUUACUAACUAAUUAAUAAUUUUUUUUAUAUUAUAAAUAAUAAAAUAUUUAACAAUUAAAAUUAAUAAAAAAAUUAAUUAGUAAAUCUUUUAAAAUUUAAAAAAUAUUUUUAAAAUCUCAACAACGUUAUAAUUAUUUUAUUUUAAAAAAUUAAAAAUUAAUUAAUAAAUUUAUCCGUGUCAUAAAAAAUAAAUAAUAAAAUUUUCUAAAUAAUAUUACGAUUAACGAGGACUAAACCGUGCAAAACGUGUUUUAUAUGUGUAAAGAGGCAAGAAGACGAUUAGGAUAAUUUAUUCAAUUCAUUUAGAUAAAUAGAACUAUCAAUUAUAAAGUUUUAAUAAAUUAUUUUGUUAAAUUAUAUUUAAUGUGAAAAGCCACACAAACCUUAUCUGGAUGAUUUUAUUGAGAGCAUAUCAUGAAUUAAUGACUUUAUAUUUUUUUAUAGUACAAUUAUUGAAAUAAUUUUAUUUUUUUUAUUGGAUUAUAUAACAAAUUAUGUUAGGAAUUUUUCACAGUUGAUAAUUGGAUAUUUAUUUUUUAAAAUAUAAAGAUUUAUAUAUAUAUUUUUUUUAGACAUAAAAUCUUAAUUAAUAAGAUAGAUUAUGAUUUUGUUAAAUUAUUUAGCUUAGCUGUGAUAUUUAAAAAUUACUAAUUAAUAAUUAAAAAAAAACAAGUGCCAUAUAUAAUUUAAAAAAAUAAAAUUAUUAAUUAAUACUAAAUACAUUAAAUUUUAUUAAAUAUUAAGAGAUUUUUUAAAAAUAAAAUAAAAUAAAAUAAUACAUGAAUGAGAGAUAUUCCAAAGGAAAAGUUUUGCCCUUUAAAAAUUAAAAUUUAUGAAAUAAAUGCACUCAUCAACAACCCAUCUAACUAUAUUUAGGGAUGGCAACGGGUAGGGUACCCGCGAAGUACCCAAAUUCGAACCCGAUUAUAUAUAAAAUUCUCAAACCCGUCUCAAAUCCGUUUAGUGUUUUAAUUUUACUAUCCGUACCCGUACCCGUUCCAAAUCCGUUUAGCAAUACCCGCAUACUACCCGAACCCGACCGACUUGUAAAACCAUUAUUCUCAGGAGUAGGGUCAACCAGAUUCAAUGGUUUAUGAGAAUGACGCAAUCUGAUAUUAGUGGAGUCAUCACCUGAUGGAACGAUCAAGGGUGCCCCAUCCCCAACAAGCCCAUCAAAACUGAUUGUUUUUACAGUAUCUCUGAUUGUAAUUUCAGCCAAUUUUCCUUUUCCAAAACCAUUUUAAGUGCCUGAAAAAAGAAAAGAGUAUUUUUUCUUUCAUGUUUCUAGCAUAAUUCCAGUAUGUGUUACUUUACUACUAAACUAGCAGUUCCGAAAAUAGAUAGCUACUGACUACAACAAGCAUGUCAGCCAGAACCCCCAGUUUGCAGUAUAAUAUUCAAAACAAUAUUAACAAAUGCCAAGCAUCCAAAAAAACCACAAGAGAAGAUGACAACAGCAAAAAGAAAGGUUAGGAAAAACCCCUGACAAAAGAUGCUCAAAAAAUCAAUCCAUGAGACUAAAUAUAUCAAUGUGCCAAAAGAUGUAAAGUUUAUCUACAUAACAUUUAAACUGGAAAAUACAUUAACCUGGUAAGUGAAGAGUUGUCUCCCGACUGGAAAGUGGGAGAUGUCACCACACUGGAGAGAGAAGGAGAUAUCGCUGACCGGAGAGAGAGAAGAUUUAUCGUCAACUGGGGAGAGAAAGAAAACGUUGCCGGUGCCGACUGAGCUGCCGGCACUCGUCAAGUGAAGUGGGAGAGAGACGGAGAGAGAAGCUCGAGUAAAAUGAGAAAAUGAAUUAGGGAUAAGGAAUUAGGUUUAAUAUAGCUAAACGGGUUCGGGUAACGGGUAUCCGAUCACCUAAUCCCGAACCCUACCCGAAUUCGAGAUGGGUAAAAUUUUUCAAACCCAAAUCCGUCUAAAUCCGUUUUGUAAAUAUCCAAAUCCGUUCUAAUAGGGUUUGGGCGGAUCGGUACCCGUGAAAAUCCGUCCGCCUGCCAUCCCUAACUAUAUUGUCUUAAUUACAAGGACUUGCAUAUGAUUCUGGGUAUAAUAAGCUAAGCAAAAAAUACCAAUAUUUUUUAAAUUAAAAAUUUUAUGAUAAUUUAAUUUAAUUUUUUAUUAAUUUUAAUAUGUAGAAUUAUUUAAAAUUAUAUAAUUUUAAUAUUUUAAAUUAUAAAAAAAUAUGUUAUUAAAUAAUUCUUAACAAAGUAUACAGACUUAAUUAAUAAAAUAAAUGAAUUUAAUUGGAGUUAUUGAUAUAUCUAAUUUGCAUCACUAAUAUAAUUAUUUUUUAUACAAAAAAUUGAUUUGAUAUUCUUAAAGAGAAAUAAAUUAAUAAAUUUUGAAAGAAAAUUUAUAUUUAUCAUAAAAAUUUAGAAUAUUGAUCUUCUAACAGUAGAAGUUGUGAAAUAGGCUUAUCAACCCAACCCAACAAAAAGUCCUUGUUUCAUACUAAAAAUAGAAAAAGAAAAAGAAUGACUUAUCUUUUAUUACCUUUUAUAUAUAUAUAUAUAAAAGAAAUAGUCUAAUAGAUUUGGAUUAUAUGAUGCUCUCAAUAUCACAUAGUUUUUGUCUUAUCUUUUUAUUUUUAGUUAUAUUAAAAUGUUAUAUAUUUUCUUUAAAUUAUUAUAACUUUAGCUUAGAGCAUAUUGCUUAAAUCAUCCAAUCUGUGCUAAAUGUAACUUUUUCUCAGAGCAAAAUGCUUAAUAUUUACAACCCUUUUAAUUUUAUUUUUAAUUUUAAAAUAUUUAUUAUUAUUAUUAUUUUUUAAUAUUCUGAAAUCCAGAAAAAUGAGAUUUGCAAUGAUCGGAUAAGCUUGAUGUAUGAGAAUGAUAUAUUUCUCUUUUCAUUUCUUUCUUCUUACUUGCUAAUUACGCUUAACGGCAGUAAUACUCAUUUCUGUCACGACCGUAGGUAUAAUAAUAUCAAUUUUUCUACUUAUGUUAGGUGGUUAUUACUUUUCAGUACGCAUGCAAAAAGAAUUGUGAAAGAAUUGGGCCGGUUUGCUUCUCAUCACAUCUCAUCAUUGGGCUGAUUUUUUCUUUUUCGGGCUUAGAACUCAUAUAUGACCCGACCUGCCAUGCAUUCUGGAGUUCAAGCCAAAACUAUCGGACAAACAAGCCGUUUCGAGUUCUAGACCUAAUCUAUUUUUAUAGGCUCUGACUCGGACCAAAGGAGAUUUGAGGCAGCGAUUAUUCUGUUUUAAAUGAAAACUCAAAUCACCCCUUUGCUAAUAAUGAUUUUAUUAUUUUAAUAAAAUUUAACUAUUGUCAUGUUAGAAAUAGGUAUACUUAGGAAGGUAAAAAAGGUUUACUUUUUAACUACAAUAUUAUUUUUAAAUUAAAAAAAUUGCUAUUAAAUUCUUAUAAUAUAAAAAAAAUGUAUUAAUUAAUUGAGAAUUUUAAAAAUUUUAUUAAAAUAUUUUUAGUGUUUUAAAAAUUAUAUUAAUUAAUUAUUUUGAUAGUUUUAAAGGGUAAAUAUUAUGAAAAGGUAUAUCAUAUUGACAGAUUAAUUAGUAAAUGUUUUAAAAAUUUUAAAAAUUAAUUAAUAAUUUUUAUAAAAUUAUAGAAAUUAAAUAAUAAAAUAUUUAAUGAUAAAAUAAAUAGAAAAAUUAAUUAAUAAUUUUUUAAAAUAUUAAAAAAUUAAUUAAUAUUUUUUGUUUACGUGAAAAAGUAAACAAAGACGAAUAGAGUAUAAAGUAAUUUAUUAAUUUUUCUUUAAUAUCAUUAGUCAAUUCCACUUAAAUAAUAAUAAUAAUAAUAAAUUCAAUUCCAAAUUUUUAUUUAAGGAACAAAUAAGUCCGGACUUGAUUUUUUAUUUAAAAAAAUAUUAUUUUUUAAUUUAAAAUUAGUAUUUUAAUUAAUAUUUAUUAAAAAAUACUUAAAAUAGUAAAUAAUUUUAAAAAUUAUAAAAAUAAUAUUUUAAUAUCAACAAUAAUAUUUUAUGAUUAAAAAAUAUUAUUAUUUUAUAUAUAAACUUAUUUUAUUUUUAAGUAAAAAUAUAGAGGUUUAAUUAAUAAAAAAAUAAUAAAUCGGACUUUUAUAUAUCCAUUGAAUAAAAGUAUAAGAAUUAAAUUAGAUUUAUAUUCAAUUUUUUUUUCAAUUUUAACUAAUAAAUUAAUGAUAAAAAUAGAUAAAACUAGUCAGUAUUUUGAUUUAGCGAAUGCAUUUCUCCUCUUUGUAUUAAAAAAUUAAUUUUUUUAAUGUUUUGGCAGUUUAAUUUUUUUUUUAAUUUCAAAAUCAAAAUAUUAAUAAAAAUAGAUAUUAUUUUACUAAAUCAAAUCAAAUAAAAUAAUAUUUCAAUUAAAUUUCUCCCCUUUCUCUUUAUACAGACACGUGGUUAUGUUACAAAUACUUAUCACUUUAAAAGUUAUUGUAAUAUUUAUUUAUUCAUAUUUUAUAUUUAAAUAUUUGAAAUUUUCAUUUCUUAGGUUUUAAUUUGGAAAUAAAAGAUGAAAAAUAUGCAUGUAUACGUGUAAAAAAAAGUAAAAAUUAAAUAUAAUAAUAUGAGAUAUAUUAUUUGAUUAUUUUUUAUCAAUAUGAAGUUUAUUGAAAUUGAUAAAAAUAUGAACCUCAUUAAACAAAUUAAUAAAAUUAAAAUAUUAAUUGAAAUUAAUAAAAAAUUAUUAUUGAACGGUAAAUAAAAAAAUAUUAUUUAAUUUUAAUUAAAUUCAUGCAUAAUUUUAUUUUAGAAUUAGAAAUCAGAGAUGGGGAGAAUAAAAUCUAAGAACUCUCAAAUUUAUUCACAUGCAUUUGCUAUUCGACUAAGUAUAUGUGUGCAUAAUUUUAUUUUAUUUAAAAAUUAAAAUUAAUAAUUAAAUUAAAUUAUUAUAGAAUUUUAAUAAUUUACAAUAUUUUAAUAAUUUAACAUAUUAUUAAUGACUUAAAUAAAUAAAAUAGCUAAAUAAUCGGUUUGAAAAAAUAAUAAUAAUUAAUAAAUUUUAAAAAAUAAAUAAUUCUAGCAACUAAUUUUGCUAAAUUAUGAAAUUAUAUAAUAAUUUUUCAUUGAUGAUUUUUUCAUUUAACAAUUUAAACAUAACUAAUAGGUGCUGAUAAUUAAAAAAAUCGUACACGAUUUAUAAAAAGUCAAUAACGAUUAAAUAUCUAUUUUUAUAAUUUUUUACAGAAAAAAGUACUUAUUGGUAUUAAUUUAAAAAGACUCAUUUAUGUUAAGAGGUGAAUAAAUAAUUAUUAUUUAAUUGUAAUACAUAGUUUUAUUUUAUUUAAAAAUAAAAAUUUUAUAAAUUAAACAGUUGUAUCGUUGUUCAAGAACUAAAUAAAUUUUUAUUUAAUAUAAUAUUUUUUUUAAUUUAAAAUAUCAAAAAUCUAAUAUUUUAAUAAAUAUAAAAAUUUUAAAUAAUACAUAUAAAUAGUUUAUUUCAAGACUUGCUAUAAUGAAAAUAAAAAAUAAUAUUUUAUUAUUAAAAAUAUUAUAUUAAAUCAACAGUUAUAUACUUUUUUUUAAAAAAUAAUUGAUAAAAGAAAUUAAAUUGAAUUUAUUUAAUAUUAAAUAAAAAAUAACAAAAUUUAAUUGAAUUUAUAUCAUUUUAAAAUCAAGGACCAUUUUUCAUUAUUAGUGUCAAAACUCAUGAGAAAUAUUGUAAAUUUCCCUUAAUUGUACGAUAAUUUGACGAUAAAACACCGAGAAAUUCACCUACUGAAAGCUCAAAUCUCCUGGCGGCCCACUUCCCAUUUGCACUUGGCAAUCUCUCUCUUCCCAUUUUAAAAAAUUUUUCAUUUGUAUAUCUAUUAUUCUCUUACUCUCUCCAAACCCCAGAAUAAUUCACAAUAAAAGGAAAAAAAAAAAAAAGAAGAAGAAAGAAGAAGGGGCAGAUUCGAUCUCUUGACCUUCCACAGUCAGUGCAGAUUUGUUGGAUACAAGGCGGAGUUAGAGAUUCAGCCACAAAUCUUCUCUCUGUCGCAAGUACAAUUACUGAUUACACUUGCAUCUAGCUGAAUCCGGAGUCCAUUUUCUUGCUUUUCAGUUUAGCUAAGCAGGUCCCUUUCACUUCUGCUUGUAUUGUAAUCAAACCCUAGAAAUCUUCAAUUUCUUACUUACUUUAUAUGUGAAUUUGUGUUUUCUGGGAAUUUUCACUGCUCAAUCUUGUUAAUCUGUGUGGAUUUUUUAGUUGAGCUUACUUGUUAUUUCUUUUUUAGAUGCUAUGGUUUAAUUGGAGAAUACUGACGUUGAUUUCUAUGAUUUAAUUGUUUUCGGAUUUUUUUGUUGAAUUUGCUUUGAUUUAUAACUGAAUGAGGGAAUUGUGACUCUGAAUUGGAUCGUGAAGCUGCUUCCUUGUUUUCUUUACUUCUAGCUAUAAAAAUCGAAAUUGGGAAAAGAAUUUGGAAAUGAGGGCUGUGCUUAUGUAAGCCGCUUUUUGUGGGAUUAGUUACUGUCAAUUUGGUAUUGAGUUAACUAGAAGCGUCAUUUGUAGCUGUAAAAAUCUAAGCUUUUGUUAUCCAUUCUCGGGUAUAAUUUUGCCAGGUAUUUAUGCCAACAAUUUUGCUAAUUCAAGAUACUCAUGCAUUUUUUUCUUUUGAGGAUUGCAACUGUUGUAGAUAAAUGUGCUUUCUUUUUUAUGAAGGGAAUUGUGUUAAAUGCAGUCUGGUAAGUGUGGAUAAUCCAAUUUGAGGGUAUCUGCAUAUAAGUGCAUCUAUAAACGAAGAAAAGCUUCAUUUGUUUAAGCAGUGAGUCAAGUAUGUGAGAAUGCUUUCUCUGCUAUUUUUUAAUAUGCUGAAAAAACAGAAAUAUCUUGUUGGAAAACUUUCCGUUGGUCUAUUCACAUUUUUUAUUUAACUGCAAUUCAGUAGGGGUUUAAUAGCAUUUCUUUUGGUUUCUGCUUUCCUUACAUACUAUCUUGAGCUCUUCUAUUCUUUCUAGUUGCUUUUCAUAUUUUCCAUGCUGAAGUGAUACUUUAAUCUCUUCUCCUUUCUAAAAAAGUGAGAGACAUGCUAAUAGGGUAUCAUAUGUCCAUUAAAAAAUGAAACUGAUUUUUUUUCCCCUUCUUUUUCCCCCCUGGUCAGGUUUAUGGCAUGCUUUUGGGACCACCCUUUGGUUUUGUAUUAGUUCUGGAUAGCUGUUCUUCUACUUGACAUGCACCUGGAUCAAAAGACGCUUUGCUUGGCUUUAGGAGCAUAUUAGAAGUUGGCAUACUACUACUGAUUGUACAAGCUUCUUCCUUUUAUCAGCUUAAGUAUUUUCUAAUAGUUUAUAACAGAUUCUGGUAGUUCAUCCCAGGAUCAUUGACGUCAGAUACCCUUAUUUGUUCAUUCUUAAGAAUAUAAAAUAGAUACAUGCUAAGAUAGUCUUAUUCUAGUCUAACUUUGGGAGUUACAAAGAUAUUUUAGGUUUAUUGAGUUUAAUGGUUCUACGCGCAAGAAAAACAUUUGGUAAUAUCAUCUUGAUGAGGCCACUGGAUUCAUACAACAUUUAAUGCUGAAGGGGGAGAUGCUACUAAAUUGGAAGAAACCCCACAUUGACUUAGUUUUUACCUUCAUCAUAUACGGUUCAUUUAUGUCUGGUACAUCUGAGAGUAUAGGGAGGCUUUAAUGGUGUUUUACAAGAGGAAACCAUGGAGCACAUUUCAGAGAAAAGAUAUCCUGUAAGUGCAAAAGAUUACAAGUUAUAUGAAGAAGUUGGUGAAGGUGUCAGUGCCAUUGUAAAUAGGGCCCUCUGCAUUCCGCUUAAUGAGAUAGUUGCAAUUAAGGUUCUUGAUUUGGAGAGGUGCAACAAUGACCUGGUAAGUGAAUUGCAUUUUCAUUAGAAGCUUCAGAUACUCAUGUUUAUUUCUUGGUUGAUUAUAUACUGGAAACAUGUCCGACUGUCUGUCAUAGAAAAAUCUAGGUCAUCUAGAUCCUUUUUUUUGUACUUAACCCAUCUCAUCCUUGGUCCACUUUCUUCUUUCUUUUCCCCGCUGCAACUUUGAUACAUUGAACUUAUUACUGUUGUGAUUGAUGACAUAUUAUUAAGUUAUUAACAUGUACAAACCAUCUGAAUUGCCAUUUUUGAACUCAUCUUAAAUGUUUCCCUUUCACCUUCUCUCAAAUGUACUCAGUUUUUACCUGGUUCUUGUAUUUCGACACAUCUAUUUAACAUUCUCAUCUCUGCCACAGUAAUUUUGUGGACAUAUUGUUUCCUCACUGCCCAAUACUUGAGGCUGUUAAUCACUGUCAGUGAAAAUACAGCCUUAUAUAACUUUUUCUUUUAACUUGGCUAAAGUUUUUACUAUCAAUAGGACUUUCCUGGAGUUAUCUCUUCAACAUUGUUUUUUUUUUUUUAUCUUUUUUAAUUUUUAUUUGUUAUGAAUCCUAAAAAUUGAAAUGUCUGCAUUAUUGGACUUCUAAACUGUCAAAACUCCAAAAUAACUCCGCUUAGCUCCUUCUUCAUUCAGUUGCUAAAAUAACACACGCACACACAUAGUUGUUUGUGUGUGUUAUUUAUUAUUUUGUCUGAAUCAAUCUAUGAUUGGAUGUGUGGCAUGUAUCUUUGGUGCUUGUUUGGGGCUAUGAUUUUCUGAAUCUCAUCAUGGAUUCAUGUGAAGUUUUAUUUGAUUUUAUACUUUUCAUGUACUGAUUCAGGAUGGCAUUCGACGAGAGGUACAGACAAUGAGCUUGAUUAAUCAUCCAAAUCUAUUACGAGCACAUUGUUCUUUCACUAUUGGCCACAACCUUUGGAUUGUAAUGCCGUACAUGGCUGGAGGAUCUUGCCUUCAUAUAAUGGAAUCUGCAUAUCCUGAGGGUUUUGAAGAGCUUGUUAUUGCUACAUUACUGCGUGAGACUCUCAAAGCUCUUGUUUAUCUUCAUGCUCAUGGUCAAAUCCAUAGAGAUGUGAAGGUAACCUAUUUUGCUUCUCUCAUAAAUCCUAUUGCUGUUAAAGGGUUAUAUAUAUGUAUAUAAUGAAAAAUCAUCCAAAAUAGCUAGAUGUACCGUUGGGAUCUUACAAUUUGCCUUUUAUUUAAACUAUGCAUGCUUGAUAGAUCAUGUUUGAAAGAAAUUAAUUUUUGUUAGAAGGAGAGUACAAAAACGUUUCUUUGUAUUUCCUCUAUCAUUGCAUUUCGCCGCCCUGGAUGGUCCAUUGCUUCUCUAAUAGUUCAAAAACUUGGAGCUCAUGAGUUUGAGUGAACAAAAUGUCGCAUAGAUGUUAUUAACUUGCUUAGGGAAGGAUGCUCUAGUUUGUUUCCUCAAUCACAUGAUUGAUGCUCUAAAGAAGAUGAUGUAAAAGGACUAGGUGCUAAUUUUUGAAAUUUUGUUUGACUCGAAUGACUUAGGCAGCUGUGUAGAAGGAUAGCGGAUGCAACAAAAGCGAAAUAGGAAAAGUGAUACAAACCUUGUGAGUUAUGACUCACGUCAUGUUCCAUCGUCUUCCCUAUACCACAGUUAUGCACAAUAAUAGAGUCAACCAUAAAAGUCAAAACAAUAAAGAAUUUUGGUUAAUUUGCUAGCGGGAAUCAAAUUACAGGUGCAUUCUAAGAUGGAUAAGACUGAGUUUAAAGAUAUAGUAGGAAGAGUUUGAACAUUCCUAUUCUUUUGACCAUAGCUUGUGAGCCAUUAGUAAUUUCUAGAGGAAUGAGAAGUGAAGUGAAGUUGAAGAAAAGGUUCAUAUUACCAAAGAUAUUAUAAGCAUCAGAACCAAGUAUCCAUGGGUUAAUGCAUGAAGACUUCGUCGAAUAAAAAAAAAUUACUGGAGUAAGAACUGCCAGAUGAGGAUGAAUGCUGUUUAGCAGCUUGAUACUGCAGGUACUCAUUAUAGUCAUUGCCAGAUAAGGUAAUGGAAUUGGACUUUUGAUCUUUUGUAUCAGGUAGUAGUAGGAGGCCAGCCUCAUAUAUUUGAGCUAUGUGAAUUACAGGUGGGCUAUUUUUAGUAGACAACAGGUUGUGUGGUUGUUGACCAUGUAGUGCCAAUUAACUGUCUGGAGUAUGGCCACCUUUGUAAUAGUAAGUGUAAUGCAACUUGGAGCCAUUUCCUUUUCCAUCUCGAGAAUUAUGGUAUCCUUGCUGAUGUCCAAUAUGCAUGGCUAACCUAGAAGUAUCAAUAUCAUUAGUAUUAGUUGCAUUAAAGAAAUGUGCAACAGUUGGAUAGAGACAUCAUCAAAGGAAGGAAUAGCCGGGUUGGUUAAGAUAUAGUUUCUCAUAGAGGAUAAGUCAUGUCUAAUUCCUAUUAAUACCAAAACCAUAAAAGGUUUAUCCCAUUUAUUCUUCUCGUGCAAUGAUAUUAUCAAACAAGGGCAUAAGGGAAUUAAACUCAUCUGUGAAUGCCUCAAACUAUCCCAAAUAACUAGCCCUAUCUUGAUGAUUUUGUUAUAGAUUUAUAAUGUCCGAUACAACCUCAUAGAUAUACUAGAUAUCAUAUUAGUAAUGAUGGGAGAACUAGAUUGGAGGAGAAAAUUUGAGCUUAGAGGCACCUAUGAUUGGAGAUUCAACCUUUUUAGAGAUACUGAAUAUGUUCUAUUGCAGCCUUGGAAAUUCCCAGGACAUAGAAUUUCACCAGUUUCGAGAGCCAAUACAUUAGAGAGAGGAAACCAAGUGUAUUGGGUCCAUACCUAGCAAUGAAACCAUAGAUUUGGCUACCAUGUUAAACCAGGAGAUGGAAUCAGAGGAGCGCCAAAUGGAUUGGAUCAUUGGAGGAGGGUGAGGCGUUUGGUGCAGGCUCUAGUGAUGGAGGAGGUCAGAGCUCUUCUCAUGCGCUGGCAUGUGAAUCUAGGGUAGGAUCACUGUGGUAGCACGUAAUGACCUAGGAGAGGACUUUGAUGACAGGGUUCCGGACCGGGAUUUAUCGGAGACUGAGGAAGGUCCUUGAGUACCUGCCUUCUAGAAAUUUCCCAACUAGAACGGCAGCCUAAGAAAACAAGCCUUUCUAAGGCUCUGUUACUAUGAAGCUGUAGAAGGAAAGAGAGGAAUUUGAGAGUAGAACAACCUGAUUAUUCCCUUAAGCUAAUUGGGGAUUUAUAGAGUUAGUUAAGAUAACAGAAAAAGGAAGAAUACAAAUCUUAGACUGAUUUGCAGGCCCUAAUUAGCACAUAUUUAUGGCAACUAAAAAGGCAAUAUUCUCUUCAAUAUCAUAACACUUCUUUCUCUCUUUUGCGUGUAUGUAUGUGUGUGUGAUAGCUUUUUGCAUAUCUUCUGGAGAAUACUACUGCACACAGUAUUUUUAUCUGCUUUCUGGAUGCCCUUUUGCAGGCUGGCAACAUCUUAAUCAAUUCUGAUGGUUCUGUUAAGUUGGCAGACUUUGGAGUAUCAGCAUGCAUGUUUGAUACAGGAGAUAGGCAGCGAUCCAGAAAUACCUUUGUUGGAACUCCAUGCUGGUAACUAACCUAUGUUCCCCUUUUACUUCCUGUUAAUGCUUUACUGAGUGAAAUCAAAUCUCAGCAUGGAUGACCAGAAACAAAUGAAAUUGCAAUCUGAUCAGAAGCAUUUUCUUUCUUCCUUUUGUGCUUUUUUCUUAGGAUGGCUCCUGAAGUUAUGCAGCAAUUACAUGGAUAUGAUUUUAAGUUAGUAUGCCUUGGAUCCUUUCUUUUUUUCUAAAUUAUUUUAUAUCCUUGUUCUUAUUUUCUCUAAAUUUGCAAAUCAUGGAUUGAAGACACUUUUGAACUUCUGUUUCUGUGAACAGAGCAGACAUCUGGUCAUUUGGAAUAACUGCACUUGAACUUGCUCAUGGCCAUGCUCCUUUCUCCAAGUAUCCACCAAUGAAAGUAAACUUAAUUUUUGAUAUUUAAAACAUUGCAUCAGAAGCAUUUUGAUGGUGUAUAUUUACCUGUUUAUAAUUUGAUCUCCUUCCUUUAUCCUGACUCUAGGUUUUGCUGAUGACAUUACAAAAUGCACCUCCAGGACUUGACUAUGAAAGAGACAAGAGGUUUUCUAAGGUUUGUUUCUUUUAUUCAGUUGGAACAUUUGAUUGUUGUGCUUCUGAAGUGCCCCUCAAAAGUGUUGCACAUUUUCAGUCAUUUAAAGAGAUGGUAGCCACUUGCUUAGUGAAGGAUCCAAAGAAACGUCCCACCUCAGAAAAGCUUUUGAAACACCAGUUCUUUAAACAUGCACGGUCAAAUGAAUAUCUUGCUCGUGCCAUUCUUGAUGGACUUCCUCCUUUAGGAGAGCGUUUUAGGUUGUUAAAGGUAUCUUGCUCAUCUGAAACCACAUCCCUUCAGUUUGCAAAUUCUGCCAUUGAAUUAGGCAUAACUUCUUUAUGAUUUGUCACCCUUCUCUGCUUUUCUUUAGGCAAAAAAGGCUGAUCUUCUUCUUCAGAACAAGGCUCUGUAUGAAGAUAAGGAGCAAUUAUCACAGGUGAAAUAUGUAGAUAGUUUAAAUUUUUCUAUGUUUCAUCAUUCUGGUUAUUUGGGUUUAGAUCUUCUGCUCUUCGGGCUGAAAGGGUUGAGUGAGUUAUAUCAUAACUUUUUUUUUGCCUUCAAUUGUUGACAUGCUUAGAAUCUCUAGGCUGUUGCUUGGAUUGUUAAUGUUGUGUGUAUUUUUGUGUUUUUGUGUGUGUGUGUGAGAGAGAGAGAGAGAGAUAGAUAGAUUUUAAUGAGCCAAACUAUUUCGUGAGCUAUUUGAGACUCGGCUCGAUAAAAACUCAAUUAGACUUGACUUAUUUUCUAAAUGACCAGAGUUGAGCUCAAUUUUUAUUGAAUGAGUGAGUUUGAGCUUAACAGUAUUCGGCUCGUUAAGACUUGUGAGUUUGGCUAGUUUGUAAGUUUAUGGGCAGAUUGCGAGUUGGAUUACUGAACAAACUUGCAAGUAGGCUUGUUAGUCAAGCUCGUAAAUAGGUUCAAUAAUAAGCUUGUUUAUAAGCUCGUUAAAUAGGCUUAUGAGUUAGAUUAUUUUUUAUUUGUCCAAAUAUUUAUAUUGUUUUGUAUUUUAUAAAUGUGGUGUUAUAUUUAUUUUAAAUAUGAUUUCUCUAAAGAUAAUGCUAUUUAAAAUUAUAAUAUAAUCAUUAGAAAAUAUAAUUAUUUAUAAUUUAGUUUUAAAUUUAUAAUACACAAUCAAGAUAAUGCUAUGACUAUACAAGGAAUGAGUUCAAUAUAUUGGAUAAUAAAUAUGCUCUUAAUAUAAAAUAAUAAAUACUAGAUAGUGAAUAUUGAGUAAUGUUAUAAAUACUCUGAAAAAAAAAGUUAUAAAUACUCUCUCAAUCAUGAUUUAAGUAAUAUUAUCUUAAAUACUCUCUCAAUUUUUAAUACAUAUUUAUAUUAUUUUUCUCUCUCUCUCAAUUUUGAAACUUUUAAAAGAUUAAAUAAUAUUAAACUAUGUUACUAUAUAUAUUCUUAAUAUGUAUAUUUCUCUCCCACUAAUGUCUUUUUAAAUACACACUCUUUUUAUACCUUUAAAAAUAUAUCUCUUAAAUCUCUGUCUCUCAGUGUCUCUUACUCGGCUAUUGUUAUUGUCACUACUUUUACAUGUUUAUACAUGUGUUCUUAUAAUUAUUCUCAUACUUAUUACUGCCUAAUUAAUUUCAUAAAAAAUGUUCUUGUACUUUAAAUAUACAUCAAUACAAUAAAAUCGAUGAAGUUUAUAUAUAUUGCACGCAUGUGUAUAUAAUUAAGUUCAUUAUACUUGUAUUAAUAUAUUUAUUCCAUAUAAUAUUUUGUAUUUAUAUUAUAUAUACUAAUCUUCAGUAGUAUAUAUAAUAAUUUAAUAUAAAUAAUAUAUUUGAAUUAAAAGUACAUGAUAAUAUAUUAAUAAUUUAAUAAUUAAUAAUUGAACUUGUUUUAAAAUUUAGUUGAUUUGUGUUAUUUGAUGGAAUUAUUUAUUUUUAUUUGCUUUAUGUUGUUGUAAAUUGGUAUUUUUUUUAAUCUUCUUGUAAUAUAAUGUAAAUUCUUUUUAUUUUGUUGUUAUUUGUAUUACUAAUAAUUAAUGAGUAAUGACUCAUGGGAAUGAAAAUGUAUUGCAAAAGAGGUUUGAUUUAAUUUCUAAAUCGAGCUUGGCCUUGAGCUCGAGCUGUGUUAUUGAGAUGGAGCUCAAGCUUGAUCUUCGUGUUAUUGAGAUGGAGCUCAAGCUUGAUCUUUGUGUUAUCGAGAUUGAGCUCAAGUUCGAGCCGUUAACGAGCGGAGCUCAAAUUGAGCUCGAACUCAAUAAGAUUCAUCAAGCUCAAGCCUGCAUAAAAUUUCAUGAGUCAAGUCUGAAUUUUCUAAAGCUUGGCCUAGCUCCAUUCAAUUACACCCCUGGAGAGAGACCCCACUUAUGUUGGUUGAAAUUUAGAUAGGUGCCCUCUCACACACAGCUGAUGCUUGAGUUUCCAAAUUAUAUCACACUAGUUAAGUUAACUACCUCCCAUCAUCAUAGUAGUUUUCAAUAUUAAUUGUCACUUUAUUGGGUUGGGUGUAGCUUGGGACUUUUGUGGUUUCAAUUAAUGAUAAACCCUAAGAAAGCUUUCUCUUAGGGUUAAAAUUGAUCAAAGCUGUGCAAACUAAUUUUUGAUAUGAAUGAAACUCCUGCAUUACAACUGGAGAGAAAUGAAAUUCCCGUAAUUAAAAAAGGUUGAAGGCUUGAAGCCUAUAGAUUGGUAAUAUUUUGGUUGAAGUAAUGAAAUUUCAAAUCUUUGUAUCUGGUAUUGUCAUUUACCCGCAUGCCUGCCAUGAUGAAAUUGAAAUUUUUAUUUGAUUUGGUGUGAAUGGCUCCAUACAAAAACGGGAUUAUCCAAAUUUGACUGAAGAACAAUAAAUUUGGACUACUUUACUUUCAACUUUUGGUGGUUUGCAACUUCUUGACUAUCUUAAUGAAGUGAUACUUCUACAUUAUUUUCCUAGCUAAUUUAAUUAUGUGCUCAGACUAAAUUUGACUUAUUUGCAUGUGUUUGUGAGCAAGGAUUGGUAUAUUUUACAGAGGUAUUUACAUAACCAAAUUGGUUUAUUAUUUCUGAUCUUUCUGGCCAAAAUUUGAUGGGAUUGUUUUAUCUAACUCUGGUCAUUUUCAGCAAGAGUACAUAAGAGGAAUCAGUGCUUGGAACUUCAACCUUGAGGAUUUGAAAAGUCAGGCUGCUCUUGUGAGUAGUUUCUUUUUCUGAACUUAUGCAUAUAUCAUCAUACAAAAGUUUCAUUACAUUUGUGGACAAGACUUUCCAUUAACUUUUCUACCUUGUCUGGCACUGUGCUACCUGCAGAUUCAGGAUUUUGAUGGCAUACCAAAUGCAGAAGAUCCUGAUGUGAGCAUGAAGCAAAAGGACAGGAACAAUAAUGUUGAGCCUACAGCUGAGAGGCUGUCCCAUGAAAGGGCUAACCAUUCAACUACUGCUCCUUGUCAUCAGGUAAUUGUAGUUUUUUUUUUCCCCUUAUUUUCAGGUGUUUCCUGAGAAUUAUUGACUCCAGGUUCUGCCAUAUGUUUCACAUUCAUUUUUCAUUGUUUCAGGAUGAUUUUAGUGAUCUUCAUGAUUUGGAGAGUUCACUUCCUUCAUUUCCUAUUAAACCACUUCAAGCGCUUAAGUAAGACUCUUUUAUCUUUUUCUUAUGUCUUCAUUUAUCCUGGCAUUGUAUUUCUGCUUCUGAUUGCUCAGACUUCCUUUUGUGUAUCUGGCUUUGAGGGUAGUGGCAAGUUUUUUACGUUAGUGAGAUUGAGAAUUGCAUUCCAUUAAAUGGAAAGUUUUACGAUGUUGCUCCUAUAUAAUGCAUUAUAUAAUAUUAAAUCAAUUGUCGUAUUUGCAAUUUUGCAUUUCUACAAUGAUUUUGACAUAUCAACUCAGCUUUAACCAUCUAUUUUAUUUUGUUGGUCUUAGUUUUUCAUUAUAAUGCAAUCAUCUAUUACAAUGCAGGGGUUGUUUUGAUGUUGGAGAUGAUGAUGUGGAUGGAACUAGUCCAGAUUGGAAAGGUACUGCCCAAUCAGAUUAUGCAGCAAAUGUUGUAAACCAAGAAAGUGAAGCAAAUAACACUGAUAACCUUGGUAGAAGCAGUUCUUUACCACGUAACGUCGUUGCGGAGCAUAAAAAAUUUUUGAGUGGACCGUUAAUGCCAGAUAAUGCUUUUUCUCCCAAAAAGAUUGUUGGAGAUGAGAACAGGCGAGUUUCAUUUUCUCACUGAAGUUGAUUGUAGCUAUAUGUUUUGCUUUAAUGUAUAAUUGGCACAUUUUUUUAUGUUCCCUGUCAUGGAAUAAGAGAGAAUGUUUAUUUAUUACUUUCCUUAAAAGAGUUGCAUUUUUUCUCUUAAGAUCUUCAAUUUUAGAGUUUUGCAAAAUGAGGGAAAAAUAGAAGUUCUAAGUAUAUCUUCCCCUUAUCACCUCCCUCCAAAUAACUUUUAGGACUUAAGACACUGGUAUUUAUGUGGAUUCCACAUGCCAGAGUGGCUUGAAGCUUCUAUUUGGCAUCUAAAUAUCUAAUGCAUGGAGUAUAAAUGUAAGCUAAGAUUAUAAGCACUUCUAAAUUGCAUCAAUUUAUAAACCCAUCAACAAUCACUUGAUGUGAUAUGGUAUUUGUUAGAUUGUGAACAUAAUUUAUAUAUAAUUAAAGGAUAAUUAAAGGAUAAUUAAAGGAGAUUAUAUAAUCAUAGACUAAUUGAUACUAAUUGAUUGAUAGAGGAUUCUUAGGAGUUGUCUUAAUAAGACCUUCUAAUUGUAUAUAAAUACACUUGCUUCAGUAGAGAAUAUACACAAAUAUUACUCAAUCGUUCCUUGUCUUGUUACAUGGUAUCAGAGCCUUUAAGCUAACUGCAGUUGCCGCGAUUAGAAAUAGUAAACUUGAUCCAAGCAGUUGUUAUGUUCGGGUUGUUAGUUUUCAUGUGACUAAAUUUAAUCUUAAAGCUUUGAAGUGUGUUUUUAUGGGAUAUUCUCGCCUUCAGAAGGAGUAUCGUUGUUACUCUCCAGAGCUCAACACAGUCUCAGUAGAUAUAACCUUUUUCAAGCAAAUUCCUUUUUAUCAUGUUGCACAAAUCUCUACUAGUCAGAGAAAGGACCAUAAGUGGCUCAUCUAUAGAAUUACAACUGAUGGUGAGAACACUUCAAAUGUGCCUUCUGUUGCACAAUCCAAUAAUGGCAUUCCUCCUAAUAUUUAGCCUUCUGUUAAACCGCCAGUUAUUCAAGUUUAUUCUUGAAGACCAAUACAUGAUGAUACAUUUCCUGCCCCCAUAAUCUUCUUCAUUAUUGGAUCCACCAUCGAGUGACAUUGACCUCCCCAUUAGUCUUCGUAAAGGUAAUUGACAAUGUAGGUCUACCUAUUCUAUUGCUAACUUUCUUUCUUAUGAUCACUUGUCUCCUUCUUCUACCUCUUUAAUUGUCUCUAUAGAUUUCAUUUUUUUAUCUAAGACAGUUAAAAAGGCCCUGAUCCAUUCUGGAUGGUGUGAUACAAUGUUUGAAAAGAUUAAGGCUCCAGAUGAAAAUCAUACUUGAAAACUAGUUGAUUUACCCUCUAGCAAGAAGGUUGUGGGUUGCAAAUGGAUUUUUGCCAUUAAAGUCAAUCCAUAUGGUUUCAUAGUGAAGCUUAAGGCAUGUCUUGUUGCUAAAGGCUAUGUACAAACUUAUGGCAUUGACUAUCUGACACUUCUUCAAUGGUUAAAAUGACCUCAUUUCGCUUGUUCAUCUCCCUAGUUGUUUCUUAGCAUUGGUCUUUACACCAGUUAGAUAUCAAGAAUGCAUUUAUACAUGGUAACCUCUAAGAGGAGGUAUAUAUGGAGUAACUACCUAAAUUUGUUGCUCAGGAGGAGCAUGGGAAAGUUUGUUGUUUGAAGAAAUCUUUGUAUGGUUUGAAUUAGAGUUCCCAUGCAUGGUUUGACAAGUUCAGUGAAGUUGUUCAAAAAAAAAAAAAGCAAGUGUGACCACUUAGUCUUUUAUAGAAAUUCAAAUAUUGGUAUUAUUUUCUUUGUUGUGUAUGUUGAUGACAUUGUCAUUAUAGGGAAGGAUAAUGCAAGGAUCUCUUCUUUCAAAUCCUUCUUGCAUUUGAGUUUUCAUAUCAAAGACUUGGGUCAGCUUAAGUAUUUUUUGGGAGUCGAAGUCUUGAGGAGUAAAAGGAAAAUUUUUCUGUCUCAAAGGAAGUAUAUCCGCGACUUAUUUACAGAAACUCGAGACCUUUAUGAGAGGUACAGAAGGAUGGUUGGAAAGCUGAAUUAUCUUAUGGUGAUGACUUGGCUAGAUAUUGCUUUUGUAGUAAGCGUUGUAAUCAGUUCAUGUCUACCCCGGUGAAACAUUGGGCCGCUCUGGAACAAAUUCUAUGUUAUCUAAAGGUAUCCCUGAACUUAGUGAUCACAGGCGUACAGUUGAGUGUUUUUCAAAUGAUGAUUAGGCGGGAUCUAAAAAGUGACAGAAGAUCGACUAUAGACUAUUGUGUGUUGGAGGAAACCUAGUGUUUUGGAAAAGUAAGAAGUAAAAUGUGGUAUUCGGAUCUAGUGCCGAGUCAAAAUAUAGGGCAAUGGCUCAAUCCAUUUGUGAGAUUCCGUGGAUAAGCGAAACUUUGGUGUGAUAAUCAGAUUGCAUUUUAAUUGCUUCCAACCCAGUGUACCACGAACGGACUAAGCAUAUUGAAGUUGAUUGCCAUUUUAUUCGAGAAAAGAUUCUAAAAAAUUUAAUUUCCACAAGACAGAAGAUCAACUCAGUAUACCACGAAUGGACUUAGCAUAUUGAAGUUGAUUGUCAUUUCAUUAGUGGAAAGAUUCAAAAAAAUUUAAUUUCCACCAGUUAUGGGAAGACAGAAGAGCAGCUAGGUGAUCUAUUCACUAAAACUUUAAAUGGGUCAAUAAAAUAUCUUUCAUACAUGUUGGACAUAAUAAAUAUCUAUGCUCAACUUGAGAGGAGUAUUAGAGUGUGAAGAUAAUCUGUAUAUAAUCUAUAUAUAGUUAAAGAAGAUUACAUAAUUAUAGACUAAUUGAUAUUAAUUGAUUGAUAGAGUAUUCUUAGGAGUUGUCUUAACAAAACUUUGUCAUUGUAAUUUGUAUAUAAACACACUUACUUCAAUAGAGAAUAUACAUAAAAAUUGUCUAAUUGUUCCUUGUCUUAUUGUCCAAUUGUUCCUUGUCUUCUUACAGUAUUAAUCUUGAAGUUGACUUUGACAUGUGGUUGCUGUUUGACAGUGUCAUUUGUGUGUGUGAAACAGUAUGGUUAUGGUAAUUAAUAAUAGCUUGGAUAACUUCAAAUAUUUUGUAGGGAUUUUCUACAGCCAAAAUAUCAACCAGAUAGAAACUAUAGCGGUCCAUUGUUAUAUCGACAGAAGAGGGAUGCAAAUAACCCUUCAUCAGGUAUGGCAGCUAUAUUUUCACAUUUAUUUUCUCUGUCCAUGUAGUGAUAAAUGAUAUUACUUGUUUAUAUUCAUUACCAAAAAUAUAUAUAUAUAUAUAUAUUUUUUAUUACAUCUGUUUACACAGCAGAGGAUUUGGCAGAAGGAGCAGUUGUCCAACGUAAGGGACGCUUCAAGGUCACUUCAGCAGAUCUCAGCCCAAAGGUAAUUUGAUUAACAUGCUAUUAAUCUUAGGUUAACAAAUCCCAGCCUUUAGUUAGUGAGUGGACUGUUGCUAUUAGCCUGAUAUGAAGAGGGUUUACAGCUUCUCAAAAUUGAGUUUAUUGACCCUGUGACCCUGAGUCUGUUUAUUAAUUGAUUGGUGAGAAUUGGUGGGAGUUAAUCUUUCUAAAAAAAUGUGGACACAAGUAGGAAUCCUCACACCUAAUUUGCCCGAAACUAGAAGUGGAAAGUUAGUCAGAUGUGUGGGUUCAGGUUAUUUCGGGUUACAGUUUGAAAUGGAUUACGCAUCAACUCAAUGUACAGAAAAAAUCGAGUCAGAUGAGGUCCAAUUUCCCGUUUUUAUUUGGAAUUUGAAUCUUAGACUUGCACUCUAUACUGAAUUUAGUUAUAGCAACAGGCCUCAUAAGGAUUAUUGGUGCUUUAGCAGGUUUAAUUUCUUUGUUUUUUUUUUUUUAUCUCUAAUGAACUUGGGUUUUGAUCUUCAAGUCUCCGUUUAUGUAUUCUAAUAAUACUUUCUCAACAUUAUGAAACUUAGAAAUUUAUCUUUUAGGCAAUGGCUUUAUAACCAUUGCCAUUAUUUUUCUUAUUUCAGGGUCCUACAAACUGUUAUUUCAGUCCAGUUUGUGGAGGUUCAACUAGUCCGUCUACAUCAAACCUUACAGCUGCCUCAGUUCUCCCAUCACUGCAUUGCAUUUUGCAGCAAAACACCAUGCAAAGGGUAUGUUUCUUCUAUUUGUUAUUCAUUGUAAAUAUUUUAUGUUCAAAAAUACUUAUUUCUAUGUUGGCAGGAAGAAAUUCUUAAAUUGAUUAAGUAUGUGGAGCAAAACUUUGGUAAUACCUCUCAUCUUUUAACCAUUUGUACUAUUGGCAGUUAUUCCUAAAUGCAAUAAUUUUUAUAUCGAAGUCAUUCUAAUGCAGGAAAGCAAAUGGAGUCAGCUGAAGCAGCCACAAAUGACCUUUUGCCGGUAUAUGUACUUUUUUCUUUCUUUAAAAAAAAAUUGAUAUUAUUUUUGGUUCAAAAUUUUCUCAUGCUGAUUGUAGAAUUUCUAGCAUAACAUAUACAUGCAUAAAAUCUGCUUUGUUAUGAAAUUGAGCAAUAAUAAGCUAUUAGUUCUUUAGCAAAAUGCAUCAAAUAGCCCUUAAUUUUUUUUCUUUUGCUUUUGCUAUCGUGCCAUCAAAGUGAAGUCAUAUUUUAUUGUCCUUAAACAUUUUGAUUUGGUGCUAUUAAGAACUAGUUUAACGUAAACAAAUAUAUAUAUAUAUAUUUCCUGCAAACUGCAACUGCAUAAUUUCCCUUGAGGAAGUCUGGUACCUAAUGUCAUAUAAUAAAACCUCCCUAUAUUGAAGUUGCAAACAUAUGAUAUUUACAAUUUAUUUAACAAAAUGCCUUAGUUUUUAAGUAAUUUAGCAAUGGACAUUAAAAUAUUCAAAAUCUUCUGAAAUUUUAGUAAUUACUCAAUAUUCUUAAUGAUGCAAUUAAAAUUAGUACUUGCUAGUACAAAUUCAAACAAUUUAAGGAUCUGAUAGAACAUUUCUUUAGCUGGAGACUUUGAUAGCAAAGUUCCCAAAGUUCGUGAGCUGUGUAAUGGAUUUUGCCUAUUUAUUCUUAUUCUUCAUCACUACUACUACCAUCUAUGUGUGGAUGUAAUAACCCCUAUUUUUGUUUCUUGUUGGCAGCAGCUAAUUUUUGUCAUUUUACUAUGUCAUUUUUUAUGGUAAUAUGGAAGUUUAUUUAAUAAUUUAUUGAUUAGUGAUUAAAUAGUCCAUGACUGUCAUUCUGAGUUAUGGUGCUGCUGCUUCUGUUAUAGAAAUUGUUGAAUCCCACAUAUGGGCCAUAGUCACUCCUCCCCUUGAGCUAGCUUUUGGGGUGAGUUAGACCUGGCCCAAAUUUAAUAUGGUAUAAGAGCCUCCCCAUAAGAUGUUGGGCGCCCUAUAAAUGUGCCACGCACCAGUAAAAAUUCUGGGCGUGAAGGUGUGUAUUAAUCCCACAUCGGUUAUGGAAAGGGGUAAUGUGCCCCUUGUGCCCCUUAUAUGGGCUAUAGGCACUCCUCCCCCUUAAGCUAGCUUUUGGGAUGAGUUAAGCCUGUCCCAAAUUUAACAUGGUAUUAGAGCCUCCCUUCCAAUAACGCACCAAUAAAAUUCUGGGCGUGAGGGGUGUGUUGAAUCCCACCUAUGGGCCAUAGGCACUCCUCCCCUUGAGCUAGCUUUUGGGGUGAGUUAGGUCUAGCCCAAAUUUAACAGAAAUCAUAUCCAAUUUUAAGAAAGUUUGCUGUUCUGAUACAAAUAAUGUUUUUCUCUGUGCAACAUUCAGAUAUCGCCUACUUCUGCUAGGGAGAGGGAGCUGCAGUCUCAGUUGAUUAAUCUCCAACAAAGGUAUGAUAUUACAGCCAAAACUGUGUUAAUGAAAUUGUAGUUGCUAUUUCCAUGCAAAUCUGAAGCUUUUGUGAAAUGUCAGUAUUGGAAGUCUUGUGGAAGAAUUGCAGAGACAGAAGAUGAAAAAUGCUCAGGUAUGCAUUUAUCUUGAUUUCUCCCAUUUCAAUCAUCAAAGUCUUCUACUUGUAGAAAAUCCUUAUCAUAGUAUUGUUGGCUCAGAUAGAGAGGCGUGUAACAGGCCUGAUGGACAUGCCAUCAUGUCCUUCCUUCCCUCCAGAGUACCACUGUGGUGUUGGAUAACAUAUAGGCACUCGUCCCCUUCCUCUGUAGAGCCUUUCAUGAAAGAUGUAGUUUUAGGAUAAUAUAUUGGCAUUUUGGUUCCCUUCAAAAUUUCUUACUGAUGCUUUUAUGAAUUAAUGGUUUUUGGAGACCUUUUUCGUCAUGGAUUUUUUUUCUUUUUGCCUCGUUGAAGAGUAUGUCACGAUAAUCAACCAUGCAUGUUUUUUUUUUUAAUUUGUUGAUUUGUUGUGAAAUGCUGUAUCCAAUUUGUACAAAUACCCAUUUAUAUCCCCUUCACCUUUUGUAUUUUAGGAAGAUAUUCAGGAUAAUCUAACGUAGGGCAGUGGUUAAGGGCACUAGGCAUUCUCAUCAAUAACUGAUAAAAUUGGGUCUCUUAUCAUCCUUGCUGUUUGCAGCUAGAAAGACAGUUGAAUGCUUUGGUCUAUAAGUGAAGAAAUGAGGCUUAUGAAGGAAAUAAUUCCUUUGGUGGGUUGAUUGUUCAUUAGCGACAAAAGAUUUGAGACCAUCUGCCAAGCACUUGACGAGGUAUGAAGGCAUCUUAUGAUUUUGUAUUUCUGAGUGUAUCAUAUGUGUGAACAUGUCAUGUGUUGAAGGCAGACACCAAAUUUUGAAAUGCCAUUCGUCGAGUCUCGCGUCAUGUGUGACAUGUUGUAAUUUAUGAAAACAUUGUAAUUAUAAUAGAAUCUCUCUCUCUCUCUCCCCCCUUGUUGUCACACGUUUGGGCUCUCAUGCGCUCAUAGCUUGCAGUGCCUUUAUGUGUACUUGUGUAACUGUGUUCAUGGGGAACCAAUGCAUGCCAAUACCGCAAAACCCAUUUGAUUUCCCUUGCAAUAAAUUGAAUUAACACGUCCCUGAUGCUCAAUAUCAUCUUUCAGGAGUGUUUAAUUCAAAACCGAGUCCUAUCAGAAAUAUAUAGUUAAUUUUUGGUACUCAAAACUGCAACAUGGGGGAGCUUAAAUUUGAACAUUCCAAAAUAUCAAUCUUGGUGAUUUAUAGAUUGUGUUAUAGUGAGUUUUAGAUAUAAUAUUUGGUGUGGUGGUCUGAAUUGCUUAAAUUAUGCUCGUAUGACCCGAGCAGUUGGCUGUGGCAUCGCGCUGGAGGUGUGGUCUAGUGAACCACCAAUGCGGUGUAAUACGUCGCUCAACUAUGGCUAGUGGACAAUAGCAUUUUCAGAUUUGGUAGGAAUUUGUCCGUGUUCAAUUAUGUUUGAAUAUCAUAACUUGUUAUUAAUAUAUGUGUCCUAUUUUAUCUCGGUAUUUUAAUUCUGUUAAUAUUGAGCUCACUAUGUCUAUAAGAGCCGUUAAGGAAAUAAAACAUCACCAUAUUACCCUUGUUAAAUUGGAAAAAAAAAUUCAAAAAUCUCACAAAUUAAAAUUGUCAUUUUCGACUAUGGAGCUGCGUAUGGUCUUCUGUAAAGGCAGCGUACGCAAAUGCAUGUGUUUUACAGAGGCGAUGAAGCAGUAUACACUUAUAGGCCAAGUAUGUGUUAAACAUUUUGUAUUUCAGUAUUUAUUUGAGAUGGAUUUAUUAAAUAUUUAAACUAAGCUAUUAAACAACUUAAUUUAUAAAAAUCAUAAUAAUUAAUUAUAUUAUUGAUGAUUUGUCAAAAAAGCAAGUAGUUUUAUUUAUUGCUAAUGUACUUUAAAUUUUACUGAUUACACAUGAUAAUAUGAUUUCAAUCAUUGUGCAAUUAUUGUAAUUUUUAUAAAUUUAGGUGUUUAAAAAAUUAGUUUAGAUAUUUAAUGAGUUAAUCCUAAUUGUGCAUUUGGUACAAUGUCUACCCCUUUCUUAACUUUUAACUUUAUAAAAAAAUAUUAUAAAAUAUAUAUAUUUUUUUUCUUUUAUUUCACAAUUCAUUUGCCAGCUAUUUUUCUUUUCAGUAGGUGAUAUAUAUAUGUAGCCGUCAACUAAAGGGGGCUUGUCCUUGUCAACCUAUACUUACUAUAUAAUUUUCCCAUUAAUUUAUUUUUUUGCCAUACAUGCAAUAUUUAAUAUCUUAUUAAGGGUAGUCUGUGCAAAAUGAAAUCUCAAAACCAUACCAUUCACCAAACAAACCUGGGCUCCUUAUUAAUUUGAUCGCCUCUUGCUUCAGCUACUCCCUUUCGGUUCAGGAAUUCGUCACAAACAACCAUUUGCAAGUCAGAAUCAAUUAAAAACAAAUUUUAGAUUUAUAAAUAAAUUGAAAUUCAUAUAAAAUUUAUCACAAUAUUAAUUAAAAAUAUAUUUUUUAUAGUUUCUGGAAAAAGAAGAGGAAGAGGGAGCGGCAGACGAGUGCAGAGAGAGAGAGAGAAGAGUAAGUCUGGGAGUGUAUUAUUAAUGGAUAAGUGACAGAUUGUGACUCUAGCAGUUUCGGCCAACUAACAUUAUCGUUAACCCCGUGCAUGCCUGCCCUUCAGCACGUGACAGUGAGAGUCUUCUUCUCCGGCUCAGCCUUUGAGUCCUCAGCUCAUUCUGCUGUGCUCUAGCUUAAGCCUUAAGCUCAGCCCCUCCUUUUUCCUUUUUCUCACAUGAUUCAUUUUAUUUUAAGAAAAAAACUAAAAUAAAUUUUUAUAAAAUUAUAUAAAAUUUCAAAAUCAUUUAUGAUUUCAAUACUUAUAUAUAAUAAAAAAAAUUUCAAGAAAAUUUUUCAUGAAAAAAUUUUAAAUUGUUUUAUUUUAAAUAAAAAUUUUACAAGAAAUAAUUUUAAUUGAAUCGAAUUUUUAUAAAAUUUUAAAUUUAAAAAAAUUAAAUUAAAUAAAUUGAAUUCUUUCAUUUUAAUAAGAUAAUUAUAAAAAAAAUAAUUGAAUUAAAUUUUUAUAAAAAUUUUAUUCCAAAAAAAUUAUUUUUUUUUCUGUCUUUUCAAGAAUAACUCAUGAU